rnacentral:lncRNA from 1 species
UUUUAGGCGCCGAUCGUCAUGACGCCUUGGCGUAUUGUGCUAGGGAGUUGUAGGGCGAACUCCAGGUGAGUGGGCAGUUUUGUUUUCCGUAUAUAUAUAUACUUGCCGUUUUCCCAGAAAUUGAAAAAGCAUGAAAUUAUGCUUUAAAUAGAAAUAUAUGUGAAAAGUAUAUAGAACUAUAUGAAAAACGUGAAUUGAAUUGCCAUGUAUGAAAUGAUAUGAAUUGAUAUAUGAUGCAUAUAUAUGAAUUGGUGCGGCGGACGCACAGGUGAGUAUCAGGUGAGUAUUUAAUUACUAUUAUGAUGAUGUUGAUGUAUAUUGAGCUCAAAUCCUGCACCAUGGUUUAGUGCUUAUAGUAUUCACCGCAUCGCACGCUCGCCUUGGAUCCAAGUAGAUGCUGGUCGCACAGUCCACGCGGAGUGGGUGCGACGGGCCAGUCGAAGAGUGUUAGUGAGAUUUCGACUGGUGGGUGACCUUAGAUUAUGUGCACAGAUGAUUGAUGAGAAAGCACUAGAGCGUAACUUGUGUGCAGAAGGCCGGACAGGUCACAGAGGUGACUCCGGUACUAUUUUGACCAUUCUAUUUAACUUGUGUUUCAUUUAUUUUAACCAUUCUAUUUAAAGUUUAUCCCAAGUAAUCUAAUUAAGACUAGAGUCGAAAGUGAUGCAUUUAGUAAUUGCUUACACUUGUGAAUAUGAGUUGAUUGAGGUGGUGGUGGUUUCUUGUAUUAAUAAUUCUAUUUAAACUCAUACCCUCCCACACCAUCAGAUCCAAGUACUAUUUUGAUAAACUUUAAAUAGAAUGGUUAAAAUAAAUGAAACACUUUUAGAAAAUAAGUGAAGAUGUUGUUUACAAAUAUAGAUGCAUUUGUAUAUAAAAGCUUUGGCGGUUGAUCCGUAUACACUUCCAGAGAUAUAAGCAAGUUCAUUGGAUUAUACAUACAUAGUUAAUGUAUUACAGUAUAAUUAAUAAGAAAACAAUUGCAUCCCUUUCAGAUUAUAUAUAUAUAUAUAUAUAUAGACACACACACGCACACAUACAUACACACAGGCCCUUUAUGCAAAGGAAUUUUCAAUUUUUUUUUUAAAUGGGGAUUAGUUGUGGGGCCCACGCUGCAUUGAACUUUAACGAUCCGAACAGUCUAUUUUGUAAUUCUCGAUUCAUAGAUCAUCCUUGUAAAAAUUCAAUUCAAUCCGAACCUAUUUGCCUAUUUAAUUAUCAAGAUAAAAUUUUAUUGUUUCUUAUAUAACAAAGUAUUCGUUAAUUUCUUUGAACUCAAUUAGAUAUCUUAAACAUUUCCGAUUUGGUUAAUAUUGUGUAAGGAUGAUCUAUGUGGUGCAACUUGAAAAAUAGACGAUUACGAUCGUUAAAGUUCGAUGUGGUGAGAACCCUACAAUUAAUCUUCAUUUUUAUAAAAGAAUGGGAACCCCUUCCCUUAAAGGUUUCCUAUGUAUAUAUUUGUUCUCCAGACAUAUGCAAAAGGUAAUGUAAAACCAAUGAGAACUUAAAUAGAUAUUCCAUACAUAGGACAAUUCCAUAUAUGCUUUUUCAACAUUGAUAUCGAAAAGCCAAAUUGUUUUGAGGAAAUUAAUUGUAGCAAUGAUCCCUUAACUUUUAUCUUAUUGGAGCAAUGGUCUCUCAACUAAAAAUUCAUGACCAUUGGUUCCUUAACUCCACACAACGUGUAGUUAUGGUCAUUUUCAUUAACCCCGUCAGAACUUUUGUUAAAACAAGUAAUGUUAGAAGAAUCAUUGCUACAAUUAGGUUAAAGUUGGGGACCAUUGCUCUAAUUAAAUUAAAAUUGAGGGAUCAUUUCUCCAAAUUGCUUAAAGUUCAAUGACCAUUUCUACAAUUUUCUCAUCUAGUUUCCCAUAUUUACCCCAUGAUUCAGCUUCACAUGCAUUGCACAUGACUCAUUUUGACAAAAAUUUUAACGAAAUUGACGAAAAUGACCAUAAAUACACGUUUUGAAUAGUUAAGAGACCAAUGGUCGUGGAUUUUAGUUGAGGGAUCAUUGCUCCAAUUUGGUUAAAGUUGAGGGACCAUUGCUACUUUUUUCUCAAAUGUUUCGUAUGCGAAAAUAGGCAUUUGUAAAGUUUGGCUUGUUCAUGGCAUUAUUACUUUAGUCUAAAGUAAGGCUGGAAAUGGCACUGUAGAAAUGAAUAGUGUUCCAAUCUGAAUUUCAGUUUAAUUACAACAAUGCCAUUGCUCUUUGUGUUGCCUUUAGGUGAGCAGCCCAGCUUGCAGCCAGGCCCAAAUGUAUUGGUUUUAGCUGAGAAGCUCGGCCCUUGGUCAUGCCCAAAAUUUUAAAUUACAGUUUUGCCCAUACAAAAUAACAAUCCGAUUGUAUCGGGAAGGACAAUUUUGUCCUUUCAGUUUUGGGUGAGAUAGGGGGUAACAGGGUAAGUUUCAUUUGCUGUCGUUGAAUGAGGGUUUCGGGGAUGAGGGCUCUGUGUGUGUGUGGGUGAGAGAGAGAGAGAGAGAGAUGGCGAUGGAAGGAGAGUGAGGGGGAAGGGAAGGGUUCUCGGCACUAUUGUUGCAUGUGGAUUUCACAAGUGGGAGAGUGGGUAUGGUCAGAGAAGACCAUAUAGGUCGUUGGGAUUUCAGGGAAACGGGGUAGGGGUCAUGAAUGAACCCUGCUGAGAGUGGGUACCGGAUCUUGCGCUGCAUGCCUCAAAUCAAAGAUAAGUUCGUUUUUUUUAUUGUAUUUUUAUGGUAGCUUAGCUUUUGGAAUUGUUUAGUAUGUUAGGUCCGAUUUUGGGGGAUUUAUCUUUUUAGAGAGAGAGAUAGACAGGGAGAUAGAGAGAGAGGGAGAGGGAGAGAGAGAGAGAGAGAGAGGAGGAAGCAUGACUGUGUGCAAUUUUUGGUGUUAAUUAAUGGGUUGGUGCGCAGGGUGAGUGACAGAGUGACAGAGUGAAGGAGGGACGUGUGGGAGGGUAUGAGUUUUCAGUUCUUUCUUUUGAUUCAACAGGUUAUACACUGUUUGAAAAACUUUUUUUUUAUUAUUUUGUUCUCGUUUGCUUUGUUCAAACCAUCAUUUGAAUUUUUGGGUUUCACUGUGCUCAUUUCUCUGCUUCUUCAUAAUUUGCUGGUGUUUGCUUCUCAUCCCUCUGUUGGUAGAUCUUUUUCUCAUUUCUUGGUUCCUUAUGUAUUCUUUUGUACAAAUCUGUUUACUUUUUUGCUGUGUGAUAAUCUUAGCAGGUGAACUAUAUGAACGUUUUUUUUGAAACGAGUUAAGAAGAUCCAGCUGAAAAUAGCAUACAAGAUAGAGAACUGGUAUGCUGCUCGCCAGGGAAAGGCUGCUGGAGAGGCCGAGACAGAUGCCUCCUUCAGAAACCAGGUCAGUUUCCUGCUGCUCGGCGUCUUAAUGUAUCCAAAUUGUUUAUCUUUUGAUGAAAUUAGCUGGCUUUAUUUUCUAUUUUAUUUAUCUGCAUAUUAUUUUGGUUUGUUGAAAUUUUGACUAUAGUCAUUGUCACAUGGGCGCCCAGCCCAACCCAAAUUAGUUGAGGAUAUUUAAAUCUUCACCAUGGUAUUAUAGUACUCACUCACAGUUGUGAAUACUAAGGUGCAGGCAUGGCAUGAAGAAGUGGACCGUGCACGCCAAUGUCAGAGGGAUGCAGAGGGCAAGCUUUUUUCUUUGGAGGUAAGUAUCCUUUGUUUAUUGCCCAACAGUGUUGUUAUUAUCAAUUUGUAGCUUUGCGUUCUGAAUUUUUUGCUUUGUCAAACAACCUUCUUGAAAUGCUCGAUUUCAAGCCGAAGUCCAAAAAAUGAGAGUUGAGAUGGCUUCCAUGAAAAGGGAUGUAGAGCAUUACUCGCGCCAAGUGAAAUCUGCUUCCUCUCUUUUCGUAUAUCUUCAUAUGAAGAGUUUUACUAAGUUAUAUUGAGAACUAUGUUAUUUAUAGGUUAUAUUUUCCAUUUUGCAGGAACACAUGGAGCUAAGGAAGAGCUAUCGUGAACUCACUGAUCUACUGGUAAUGUCACUCAAACUGCUUUAUUUGUGCAUGCUGCUACUAUGCGCUUGAAUGCAUUUUAUUACUGGCGGGAUGCAAGAAAGCUAGAUAUAUGUGCUGGAUCGCUUGAUUAGUGUUAGGGUUUUAACAACUAAUUGUUAGCAGCUAGAAGCUCUGGUUAGAUGAAUGCUAAUUUGAUUUUCCUUACAGUACUUGAGUGCCAGUUUCAUAUUGUUUGUUCCCUGCUGGAUACCUGUUGUACAGUUUCAUUUCUGUUUCUUUAUAACUUUCUUGGCCCUGGGAUAUAUGCAUAUUGAGUACAAUGAAUAUCCAUUGUUCUCUAACUGUUGGGCUUUACUAUCUUUGUAGCAGCCUGCCUAACAUUUUUUAGGCUCUACACUCUACCAUCCAAUUUAUGAAAAAUUCAAAGAUUGAACGGUAUUGAUUGCAGAAAUGAAAAAAAUACUAUGAUAUUAGAAAGGUGAAUGUAAUUGUGUUAGAAGAAGCGUCUAGCAUGAUGGGUAAUAUUUUAAGUUUGUAUUUCUAAAAUUUUUUCGUUCUGGAGUAUGAUUUACCUCAAUUGUUUUGUACUUUAAUCUUUACUAAUUUUCAUUGUGGAGUAUGAUUUGCCUCAACUAACAACUUUUCAUUGUUUAACUUUUUCCUCCCUUAGAUAGUUGCAUAUGUUUGAUUUGUUAAUCUGCUUCUUACACAUGUUGUUUCCUAAUGGUGUAGGUGGGUUGCCGGAUGCAUGUGCAGAUUACUUGAAUAGACGAAGCUAAGAAUGACUUAGUAUUAAGUGAGAAAGAAGCUUGGGUCAGUUGGAUUUUGAUAUUUGAUUUAUUCAUGUUUUUUGUUGCUUGCAAUGUUCUCGCAUUGUUGUUCUGAGAUUCUGUGAUCUUAUUUUUCAUAGGAACUGACAUUGGUUUGCCAUAUAAUGUUUCAUGAACUAAUACAACAACUAAUCACCUUGCUUAGCUCUCAAGACACAUACUUAAUAGGUUAACAAACACUAACCUAUAAACUGAUCUGCUAAGCUGGACCAUUAACCUCUGUUUAUAUCCCUGCCACUCAUCUUUUGGCACUUAUCAAUAGCAAAAUUUAGAGUUACUGAAACCCCAAUUUUAAUGAAUAUUAUUUUUAGUUGAUAAUUAAAAUUAAUUGAUGAUUAAUCUAUUCCAUUGUGCAUUAUUUUAUCGCCAAAUACUUUGAAUAUUCAUUAGCAAAAGAUAUAGGGUUCACUAUUUAAUGAAUAGAAUUUUGAUGGUGGAUUGCAUUUCCUGAGUUAUAAAUGUGGUGAAUCCAUUAUUUACUAGCUGAAUAAUCAUAAUGUUUUGGCCACUUACCUUGAAUUUUGUUCAAAUUGAAGAAGUCACAUGUUUCUUUCUGUUGUUGAGGUAAUCUCUCUGUUGAAAGCUUCUAUUUCUUUUUUCUUUUUCUCUUUUUCAUUUGGGUAGAUUUUUUUUUUAUGGAUUUAUGUAUUUUUUUUCAGAGAAUUCGAAAUGAAAUAAGAAUAGCGGAUUGAGCAUAAACAAAUUGAUGAAAUUUUUAUUUGAGUGUUUGUGUUGGUCCUUUUUUGAUUUGUUGAGGUUUGGAAUUAUUUGAGUUUUUUUUGCUGUUAGUACUGUGAAGGAUGCUUGGCAAUCGCGAAAUGGGGGCUACCUCUUUGGAAAGAGAAGUCUCGCUAUCCAACCUCUCAUGAAUUACAAACAGGGUGCUUUCUUGCUGAAAAACCACUAAACCAGUAGAACUUUCCUCGGUUCUUCAAUUCGAUUCGAAUAAUUUUUUUACCCAGAAAGCCAGCGUUUCCUGGUGGGUUUUACAGCUUUCUCAAUGUUUUUGUGAUUUUGGAUUUGCAAAUUUGUUUUCUGUUCAAAUUUCCUUUUGUGAUUUUGGAGGUUUUGUUUAUCGAUUCUCUCACUCAUCUCUCAGCUCUCUCUCACUUUUGAGGUACAUGCCGUUGGAUUCCAUUUGCUGCUGCUGAUCUGCAGGUAAAGCUUCAAUUACCAUAUAAAGUUUACAUUUUUCAUGAUUUCUUGAAUUUGGGUUUUAAACAAAGGAAAUAUUGCUAGAUUCUUAUCUUAUGUGCAAAUUACUGGCUAUUUGGAUUGAUGCUUGAGAUUUAGAGAAUGCCUCGAAGCUUUAAUUUCUUUUUCCUUCAUUAUUACUGUUUUCAAAAUUUUUAUUGCUGGGUAUUGAUAAUUUGUAGUAUGUGAGGGCUUCAAUAUGUUGGAAUUUUGAAUGGUUAUUGCUUCAUCGGAAUUUGGGUGGUCCAAAUUUUGAAUUAGAAGAAACCCAUUUGAUUAAUAUUUUUGGUGGAUUGGUUCUCUGUGUUUUCCUUGCUAUUUCUCCCCCAGUUGGAAAUUGGAAGCCCCAACUUUGAGCUCAGAGCUUGAAUUUCUCAAUCGUUCGUUUCUCUGCACUCUCAUCAGUCACUCUUGAUCCUCUAUCUAAAGAACUGGGUAAUUUUCCAGCUCUAUCAAGUAAUACUCCAUUUAAUUGCUUAAUUGAGGUUUUUUGUUUCUCUUUUUCGCUCUUUCAUCAGUUCAUUGGCUUUGAUGUUGAGCUUAAGUAAAUGGGAGAUCAUUAAUUGGCAUUGUUCAAGAUAUAAUUCUGUGUUUUUGGAUUUGUGAAACGAUUUGCCUAAUGAUGAUAGUGGUUAAAAUAAAUUUUUCGUUAUGAAAGAGAACAUUGUUCUUCAUUUGCCUAUGGUUUUAAGUACAAAGUUAAACUACUAUGCUUUUGUUCAAUUGACUGCAACUCAUGCCGCAGUUUGCUUCACAAACCUCUACGGUUAGCUUCCAUAUAGUAUGUUGCAAGUUUGAGGAUAUCUUUACAUCUUAAUUUUUGCUCUCUCUGGUUGCUUCAAGUUUGUAAUUUUACGUGUUACAUUGCUACUUGAUUUGAUUAUAAAAAUGCAAAACAAAAUCCGUUUUGCUUUUAUUCAACUUAAAUGUAUCCUUUUGUUUGUUCAUAAUUGUGUUGAAUUUAUUCAACUUAAAUGUGUUUUAUUCAUCUGUUUACGCUUAAAACAACUGGUUUCCCUAGCAAUGCGCGGGCCUAAUUUCUAGUACAUAUACUAAAAGCCAGCAGAAAAUUACUGUUCAUCAUGGGAGAUAGAGCACUGUUCAUUAACCGUGAAAGGGCGAAAAUGCCCUCGGAUUCUUCUUUACUUCACGUACUGUUUACGAAUUGCUACAGUAUAAAGUCCGUUUUGUCCUUCCUGUCCACGCAUCUUUCAUCGUCCGUUUCUCUUGCUUCGACCACAUCUUUUUUGCUUUACCUUUCCUCUUCGUUUUUCGCAUUCGUUAGGCUACGAUUUUCGGAGGUGGAUUGUUUGCCCUCCCAUUUCCAUGGUCUCCCCAUGCCCUCCCAUUUCCAUGAUCUCCCCACGUCAAUAUUUUAUAAAAAUAAUAAAUAAAAGGUAAUAAGAAUAUAAAAUGUUGACGUGUCUUAACGUGACCACAUAGGCAUUGGGAGAGCAUGGAAAUGGGAGGGCACACAAUCCACCUCCGACUUUCUCCCUUUUCGCCAGCCCCUCUUUUGCUCUCAAAUCCUUGCUCUUUCUUUUGCAAAAUAGUCUCAGAAGAGAUCCUGGGUUUAUCGAAUCCUUUGUUGUUGGGCGUUUUGUUCUCAUCUUGCGAUCGUCGGGGCAGCAGCUUUAAGGUAAGUUUGUUUUUAAUGAUUUAUCCUCAUUUUACGAUGUCUGGGCUAACAAAUUUAAGAUCUUUAUUUUUCUUUUUGCUGCGGAUCUGCAGGUUUUGACAAGUUUUUUGUGAAAUUGGUGCUGUCAGUGGGUGUUAACAUCAGGUACCCAUGUUCAGUUUUUCGUUUUGAUUUGAAGGAAUUUCUUGCGCAGAAGAGCUAGGGUUUCUUGGUGAGUUCUUCGGGUUUUUCAUAUGGGUAAUUUUCUUUUCGGUUUAACCCUCUGCUUCUGCUGCUCUCUCUCUUUCUCUCAUCCCUGCCUGCUCCUCUCCAAUUGUUUGCUGUUCUUAAAUAUUGUGUUCAUUGCCUGAUACAACGAGGCAAUGGCGUGACAACAGGUGAGCUUGGAUAUCCAAAGAAAAAGAACAGUUGGUUCAUCUGCUGGAGUCUGAAGCUCAGAGAAGUGGAGGAAAAUUGCAGGUGUGCGAGAAAUUUUAUUUUGCUGAUAGGACUCCUUAUUUACGGAUGCAUUUUGAAAUAAUUGAAAAGUUGGAUUUGAGUUAACAGCUAUAAAAAUGUAGACAUGAUUGCUGAGAUUAUGCUAUGAAAGUGGAAUAAAAAAAUGGUAGUUUAUAAUAUUGCGUACCAAUUGUUUUCUCUCUUUUUUACCAAAUGAUAAGGGUGGUGGCUCAGGCCGCCCCCCUAAGCGUCCCCACUCUUCGACAAGUUGAAAUCGUGGUGAUAGUUUAUGGGCUGUGGUCUUGGGAUUCUGCAAAUAGAAUGAAAAACAGACACUUAACUAUCUUGUUAUUAAGCAUUUCUGCAUCAUUCAGUUGCUCUUGAUUUUCGUCUUUUAAGCGAUCUUAUUUCUGCGAUCUGACUUGAGGAGGGUUUUUAGACCUAUGGUUGUGGGUGUUUUCUCUGACCCCAUUAUCCGAGAUUUGUAGACUUGCGAUCGGCGGUCAAACAUUUUGUGAUUCUUGUUUUCUCUGCCUUUCGGUCGUUAAGCGCCGGCAGUCUUUAGAUCUUUGGCAAAUCAAUUUAAUACAACCGAGGUAUGUUUUAUAACUGCUGUCUUUCAAUUUUUGUUCUGUAUUUUUGUUAAUUUGGAUGAAGCUCUAAUAAUUUUGUUUUGGAUCAGUUGUGGUCCUCUGUUAGGAUUUUCCUGGCUAAGAGGGUAUUUGCGUUUUUGUUGCUUGGUUGGUCGAUCACAGAUUUACGAACAGCUGUGGUGGUCCUGUUAUUUUUUUGGUAUGUUUUUUCUCCUUUUUGGUUUUUUCCCGGUUUGAGCACCCAUUCAUGAAGAAUUAAAAUGUGUUUAUAGUUUUUCAGGAGAGAUUAGAAAAGUGAUUUCAAUUUGGGAAAAUUUAAUGUUGGUUAAAAUUUGUUUAUAAUUUUUGGGAAGGAAUGAGAGGACCCAUUGAAGUAUGUGUUGUGAUUAUUUUUUAUUCAUAUUUUUAACAAAUUGGGCAUGAAUUGGUAGGUUAACUGUGUGUGUUUAUUAUUUGAAUCGGCCAUGUUUGUCUUUCUAUGGUUCUAAAAAAUUUGUAAAGGCUGUUAACUUGGAAGAAAAUGGGAUCGAGGGUGAGGGGAAAACGGCAGAGAAAGCAUGGAAGAGAGAUUUGGGAUUAGGGGUAGGAAAACAGAUGAAAAGAAUAUGAUAGAGGAAUGGGUUCAGUUCAUUUUCACUAUUUUUUUUAACUGAUUUGGAUUUUGUUUGGGUUUGAGGCCAUCAUUGGCGUUAAGACGUUUAUUAUCAGAUCGUGUGUUUUUUGCUAACUUUUAUUGGUAAUUUUAAUGUUGUUCUUAUGAUUUUGUGUGGUAGGGUUUCUGAAUUUUAUCGUUAUUCAUUUGGUUUUGUGUGUGUGUUGGUUUGUUUAUUUUGCAGGUUGUGUUUGUGCUGGGACAACAUUUUCCACCUUCUGUUUGCACUGGGAUGAUUGCGUUUUAAAACUGUUGGGGUGAGAUUUACAUAUGGAAUCAUUCCAUUUUUUUUCUUCCAAAUAUGUGCAUUUAGUUCUCUUUUAUUUUAAAUUUUAAAAAUUAAAUCGUUAUUUGAGUAAAAUGUUUUAUCAGUUUAUGUUAUGUGUUGUGACCAGGAAUUCUGUUGGAUUUGCGAAUUUUGGUUUGAUGAGAGAAAUGAGGAGUUUUUUUUGUUUGAAUUUUUUAUUGGACCGAUUUUCAAUUGGAUUGCAUUCUGCCUUUUUGCACCAUUCUUAUGCAAGCAAUUCAUUGUUUUAAAUACAAUUUGAAGAGAGCUGGGUUGCGGGUUGGAUAUAAAAUGUUAAGGUGAGAUAAAAUCGAGAUACCAAGGGUGGAAGAAUGAUUCAGAAUUGGGGGAGGAAAACAGAGGGAAGAUAGAAGAAUAUAAGAGAAGGAUAGGGUUGACCUCAUUUAGAGUUUUUAUUUACUUAUUUUUUUUUAUAAAUUGAUUCAGGACUUGCAUAUCAUUUCUAAAUUUCUAACAUUUUUGUUUAAUUUGACUCCAGUUGAUGGAAAACAGAGCUCUUACUCCUAUCAAUCAGAUGGUCCCGUACAUAAAUGCAGAAAAAUCAAGGUUCGAGUUUGCAGAGUAUGCAGACCAAGGUUUCCCGAAACUACUGGUGCAUAUUCAGGCUUGCAUUGUAUAUUACUUACCUAUUAAAAAUUUGUUUGGAAUUUGCUUUUCCCACAGAGGAGAAGAGCUGACAGUUACGCUGUGGGCAGAUGUUGCUCGAAGUAUUGCUUCUUUAUCCAUUGAAUCAUUGUCUCUGCCGAUCAUUGUGGUUUUCACAAGUUUAAAGGUCAAGCUGUACCUAGGUAUUUGACUUAGUUAAAAACUAAUCUAUUUACUAUUAAUUUUUCUAUUAUAUUCAAACGUUAUUUAAUAUAUACUCUACUAAUAUUUUCUUAACAUGUCACACAAACAUAUUCACUUCUUUUGAUCAAUUUUUUUACAGCAUUUCAUAUAAAAGCUAACAUUUAGUUGAAAUUGAUUAGCAACUCUUUUCUUGCAUGUAUACAUACGAAUUAAACAAUAGUAUUAAACUAUUUGUUAUCAUUCUCAGUAUUUGUUUUAGAAUUAGAUUAAUAUAUUUAACCUGUUUUAGAAUUAGAAUUAUUUGGUAUCACUCUCAGUAUUUGUUUUAGAAUUAGAAUUAGAUUAAUAUACUGAGAUUAUUUAGACAAAUCUAGCAUUUUCUCAAAAUAUUUGACUUUUAAACUUAGAUUAAUAUAUUUAGCAGUUUUUUAACAUGCAAUUUUUCAUUAAUUUUUCAACACACAGACAAGAUAGUCUUGAACACCAUUGGUUCAUCACUUUUCUUCAUUGAUCUAGAUAUUCUGGAAGUAAAUUCAUACAAAUCAGUGUAAGUGUGUUUACUUUGUUUAAAAAAAUAUUAUAUGCUCUCACAAUAAAAGAAGGGCUAUUCUCACAAAAUUUAUGAACUAAUGUUCUGUUUUAACCUCUACAGCUUUUCCAAAUGCACAGAACCUCUAAAAAUACUGCCACCUUUUACAAAACAGGCCCGUGAAGCUCAAAUCUUGCAGACAGCGAAGGUCACAAUUGCAGACGCUGAAAUUUUCAUGCCAAAAUAUGAUGUGGAGGAUGAGAAAUUGUUUGCUGUUGUUCUCUUUUCAGUUUUGCAGGCGAUGAUCUUUUACCAAAUGUCGAGGAGCUUCCAUGGGACAUGCUCUAUGCUCUCGCUUCCCAGUUGCCUCUGUUGGGGUUGGAAAAGCUACAGAUCACAAUGUAAGUCAAAAACAGUAAAGUUCCCAAGAUGUUCUGUGCUGGAGCAGAUUUAAAGGUACGAAUUUUUAAUUUUUUUGUGAAGUCGAUGUUUUGUUUUAAAAGGAGUUUAUAAUGGAUUGAUUGGACAAGUACAGCGUGUUUUGCAGAUAAAGGGCCCUAGCCAAUUUUCUAUGACCUAUAAAGCAUUAACCAAAUUGGGUUUUGUUUGUUUGGUAACAGGGGUUGUUCAGGUUAGGUUGGAGAGGUUGGAGGUGAGAAAUGCAAUUGGGAAAGAUACGCUGAGAGUUUUACAGAACACCUUUGAAGCUGUCAGUGAGGAUUCUUCUGCUAAUGUUUUGUUGAUCAGCAGUAAAGUUCCCAAGAUGUACUGUGCUGUAGCAGAUUUAAAGGUAGGAAUUUUUAAUUUUUUCGUGAAAUCAAUGUUUUGUUUUAAAAGGAGUUUAUAAUGGAUUGCAUGGACAAGUACAGAGUGUUUGUUUGUUUGGUUGAAUGUAAAAAGGAAUUGGAAGAAUGAUGAAAGUACUUGCAUUUGGUUGUAGUUGGUCAGGCACUGAAGGACCGGUCAAUACGAAGUGCAUCUGUGGGACAAUAGUUGAAAGAAGGCCAGAGCAGGAAGAGAAGGCAAGGUUUGUGAAGAAAAACAGUGAUGUGUUUAAUUAGAAGAAAUGUGCAUUUUUUUUUCCCAGUCAAAUUCUGCUUUUGUUCUGACUAUUUUCCUUACUGUAUGCUGAUUUUAUUAUUUAAUUUUUGGUUUUUCCUUGAUUGGCUUGGGAAUUACAAUCAAAUGAUGAAUCUUCAGUUUACUUGGGUAAGCAUUUUUUAACAUAUAAUUUAGCUGACCAUUUUAACUGUCAGACCAUGUUGUUUUUGGUUAUCUAAUCAUUCCAAGAUGGCAAGUUAGGAUUGGAAGGGUUGCUAGAAAUAAGGAUUAUAUCUUGGGACAUUCGGUGAGUGAUUUUUCAAACUUUCAGUUUUACAAGACAAAAUAUCUAUUUUUGUGUGUAUUCUUCAAGCAUGUUAUCAUUAUUUAGGUUGUAGGAAAAAAAGAGAGUGACUUGAGGUGUUUUUAGAUAUUUUUGUGUGUAUUCUUCACAAUGUAUUAAAAGCGCGAGGCGUGGGCGAGGCGUCUGAGGGAUAGCCCACGCCUCACGCCUUACGGGACCUAAAUUUUUUAAUAUAUACACUGAGCGUACACAUAUAUUAUAUUAAAAAAAAAUUAUUAAUCAAUAAUUACCCUGAGCGCACAUAUAUAUUAUAAAUACAUAUAUACACAUAUAUAUACAUAUAUUAUGUUAUAUAUAUAUAAAAUAGAGGAUGAAAAGCACAAUGAGCACACAUAUAACAAUGCAUGCAGACGGCACACAAUAUAGUGCAAGGAAUAGGUAUGAGGUAGUUAAAACCCUACCCAAAAUCUGGGUUUGGGAGUAAAAAUAAAAAAUAAAAAAAAAAUUGCUUGAGGCGCGUCUAGGCGGCUCCGACAACGCCUUCCGGCGCCUUCCGCCCACUCCCUCAAAACAAAGGCGGCAACCCUCAAGUCCAGCCUCACAGGGUGCCUAGGCGCACCCUGAGGUGAGCCUUUUAAAACAUUGAUUCUUCAAGCAUGCUAUCAUAAUAUUUGUAACUAUAAAAAAUAAUAUACUAUUAUACCUCUGUUUCUCUUUUCUUUGUUUUCAUGAGAAAUUAAUUGCCAUUGGCAGCACUAUAGAAAGCCAUCUUUCUCCAUUAUUCUCCGCUUCAUGCAUAAUUACAUAAUUCUACUAUCACAGUUGUCAGUCCUGAACAAUCAUGCAAGUCUAGUGGCAAAAACCACCUCAAUGAACAACUCUCACACACACACAGACACUGAUCAUACAUCUCUAACUCUCUUUUUCAAAUAACACACACUCUGAUCCAAAACAGGGUAAAUAAAAUGCACAUCCUUAUACAUUUCUAACUUUGUUUUUCGAAAUCCAAAAUAGGGUAUUCUAACUCUCUUUUUCAUUCAUUUCUUACAAACCAAUCAUACAUUUAAAAUAGGCUUUGAAUAAAAAUAGGGUAUAUAAUUAUAUACCUCAAAAUGCCUAGGAACCAACUUCCCCCUCCAACGAUUCAAAUUCUUGAAAUUGCCAACACAGUAAAUCCAUUAGUACUAUAUAAAUGAAAACACAAUUGAAACCCAUCAAACAAAACAAUCCCACAAUUUAAAUGAUUCAAUCCUACUACAAUUGAAAUUCACAGAAAGAAUGAAAAACCAGAACAAAACUGCAGCACCUAAAAAGUUGUCAUACAAAAAAACAUGGAAUGUAAAAAUAUGUUAAGAAAUCUAGUUCGUUAAUUUCCAGCUGCUAAGUGGCAUUAUGUAACUUUAGUAGUAUACUAAUUAACUACUUAUCUGGUGGGUUGCACUUUUAUCCAAUUGGUAAGGAAAGGAAAAUAAAAAUCAACCCCUUGGUCUUAGUUGUGGCUGCAAAGUGCAGGCCACCACCAAGUCUCAGUGUUUGUGUUUUAGCAAAACACUUAAAUAAAUUAAAUUCUGAAAUGUAAAUUAUAUUCCUAUAACUUUAAGAUGCACAUAUAGUAUUGUUGAAGUCGAACUGAAAGCACUGACAAUUCCAAGCAACAGAGCAGCAAUUAUUAAGAGCCAAAACUCAUUCCUAGUCUCCUCAUCCUGGUACUCAACUCCGUAAUCUUUGGUCAGCAUCAUUGACUGAAAUUAGGAGAGAAAAAGAAAAGGAAUUUCAGAAAUUGUCUAUGAAGCAAAGGAUACUGCAGUUACUUCAAGACAUGUAAAUUGCAUAUGUAUAAAGUAAUUUUCUACAUAAAGUAAUGAGGCAUAACUUUCUCUCUCCUCUUCAAACCCUAAACAGAGCAAAGCAACAAACUUUACAGAGAUUAGAAUGAGAACUGGAACUAAUCGAACAAUGACUGAAAAGUAACAUACUUGAGGAGUGAAUGAUUUAGUGUUUCCAUCAUCGGAAGCCGGAGUAAGUCGCUAAGAGAGGUCGCAAACAGCCCAAAGGGACAAACCCAGAUCCCCGGCCCCGAUCCAUACCCUUCCCCCUCAAAUCCCGACGGCCCCCAUACUUUUCUCUGACUGUACCCCCUCUCCCACUCAUGAAAUCGAGGAUCUGUAGCAAUGGUACUGAGAUCCCCACUCCUCCCUCUCCCUUUCUCUCUGUCGCUCUGUCUCCCUCUCCCUCUGUCUGUCUAUCUUUAUCCCAGAGCGGCAUGGCCUCCCAUCCCUGAAACCCUCACCGAAAGGUGGCAAUUUUGUAAAUAACUUGAAAUCCACCAACAACAGGGGCAGAGAAUUGAAACAAACAUUUAGGCUCGUUCGAUAACCAUUUAGGCCAAAACUGAGCACACCUAAACCAUUCCUACCCGUGCCAAAUGUUAGUGGGGAAGCAAGAUGAAGACUUAUUUUUCAAAACCAAAAGAAAAAAAAAAGAGAAAACAAAAUAACAAAUCUAAUGGUUGUAGUGUAAAAGCUGAGAACGUAAAUAAGAGCAGUUCCAGCCUUGUAAAUAGGCCGGGGGACAGGGGAGAAGAAAAGGCCUGAGGGCCUGUCAAGUUGCUCCAGCUAUGAGGAGCCCGAGCUCGUGGAGAAGGCCCGAGCAGGGGGUCUGUCAAUUUGUGACAGCCUCGGAGCCCGAGCUCCAAGCCCAUUUUUUAUUUUUUUCUGUCAGGCGCGUGCACCCCACUCGCGCGUGGGGGCGCGUCGCCCGACAACUUUUCAGAAAAACAGACAACUUUUCAGCCUUUCACAGUUACCGUUGGGAAGCCACGUGGCUUCCCACGGUCUGUUCGAUCUCAACGGCUCCUUCAUUUGGACCGUUGGAUCUCAAUGGUAAAAAAAAUAAAAAAAAUCUGAUUUAAUAUCAACCGUUCGAUCCGAGAUCAACGGUCGAUAUUAAUAUGCUUUAUAAAUAAAGAAAAAAUAGUUUUAAAAUUAAGAAAAGUUACCGUUGUGACACGUGGCACAAUCUGGAGUGUUGGAAUUCAAAAUUUUUUAAAUCCAACGGCAGAAAUUAAUUAUUGGAAUUUUUUUUUAAAAAUGGAAAAAAUCCGAAAAAAUUGUAAAAAAUCUGAAAUUUUUUUUGUAAAAAUUUGUUUUUACUUUUCUAUAAAUACCACUUCUUCUCUAUCUACCUUACACCACAAUUUCAUAUUUUCUCAACUACUUUCAAUCAAAUUCCUAUCUUUCUCUUAAAGUUUCAAUCCAAUUUUUUUCCACAAAAUGGCUACUGAUGCAGGUUCGAAUUGGUCGCUUCUUGAAGAUGUUGCGUUGUGCACUAGCUGGGUUCAAGUUACUCAUAAUUCCGUUACGGGUAAUGAGAUGCAGUUGCGAGAAAUGUGGAGUUUAAUUCAUACCAAAUUUGUUGAGCAAAUGAGUGGGAAAAGAACCAAAGAAUCGAUAUCGAGUCGUUGGAAAAUACUUAGCCAUUCCUUUAGUACGUGGAGAGAUGCCUUGACACAAGCUAGUAAUAAUGUUCGAAGUGGGGCAAAUUAUGCGGAUGAGGUAAGAAUAUAUUAUAAUUAUUUGUUUGUAUUAUUAUUUUGUUACCUAAUUUGAUUAUAAUUAUUUGUUUGUUUCAUUUAUUUGUUACCUAAUUUCAUUAUUAUUAUUUGUUUGCAAUAUUUAUUUGUGACCUAAUUUCAUUAUUAUUAUUUGUUUGUAUUAUUUAUUUGUUACCCAAUAAUUUCAUUAUUAUUAUUUGUUUGUAUUAUUUAUUUGUUACCUAAUAAUUUCAUUAUUAUUAUUUGUUUGUAUUAUUUAUUUGUUACCCAAUAAUUUCAUAAUUAUUAUUUGUUUGUAUUAUUUAUUUGUUACCCAAUAAUUUCAUUAUUAUUAUUUGUUUGUAUUAUUUAUUUGGUACCUAAUAAUUUCAUUAUUAUUAUUUCUUUGUAUUAUUUAUUUGUUACCUAAUAAUUUCAUUAUUAUUCAUUUGUAGCAACUUCAAGCACAAGCAUGGUAUGCUGCCAAAAUCAAAUCAAGAAACAAAUCAUUCCACCGAUGGGAAUGUUGGAAUAUUGUUAAAGAUUGUCCUAAAUUCAAAGUUGUGCCUGUUGGUCCAGAAGUAUGCAUGAACAGCAUCCCUCUACACAGCACCUUUGUAUACAGCAACCCUCCACACUCUACACCUGAUGAUGGCACUCAGGUUGAUGAAGAAGAUGUAGAUUUAUUUAAUUUCGUAAUAUAUUUAUCCUAAUAAUAGAAUCUUUAUUCAUCAAAUUGUUCACGUAUAAUGAAAUAAUGAAACACACCAAAUAAAACUAAAAAACUCACCAAUUGGAAUUACAUAAACAUACCAAAUAAAAUUACACAAACAUACCAAAUAAUAAAAAACUCACUACAAAAAACACACCAAAUUAAAUUACAUAAACACACCAAAUACAAACAAAUAUAGUAAAUAAACUUAAGUAUCUUCAGCUUGUUUCAAUGCCCACUGGUGCUCUAUCAAGUCAAUUUGCCGAUCAUUGUGUAUAGAUGACCUUUGAAGUGCAGUAUAUUGUUGAAUAACCCUUUCAUUGUAACGUCCAUCCCUUUCUAAUGGCUCGUGUUGCACGGGUUCUUCGGUGGCAUCAUGCGCACAAUAUAUCCGUGUUCUUGAAUUGUUCAUCGUGUCUGGCUCUGGCUCAUAUUCAUCAACCGCAUCAUAAUCGAACUCAUCUUCCACAAUCAUGUUGUGAAGAAUGACGCACGUCAUCAUGAUGGAUCGAAGUGACUCUACAUCGAACAUUCUGGCAGCACCCCUGACAAUCGCCCAACGAGCUUGAAGGAUACCAAAACAACGCUCCACAUCCUUCCUGCAUCCCUCUUGACAGCUUGCAAAGUGUUUUUCCUUUGCACUUCUCGGACGUGGCACUGUUUUGACAAAUGUUUCCCACUGUGGGUAAAUGCCGUCAGCUAGGUAGUAUGCCCCGUCGUACCUACGUCCGUUGACGACAUACGUGACUUGUGAUGCCUUUCCUUGGAGGACGUCGUUGAACACUAGGGAUUGGGUAAGGACGUUGAGAUCAUUUUGAGCCCGGGAACCCCGAAAAAGGCGUGCCAUAUCCAUGUAUCAAAAGAUGCCACUGCCUCCAAAAUGAUAGAUUUUGCUCAUUUUCUGUCCCCAUAUGCGCCUUGCCAUGCACUUGGACAGUUUUUCCACGUCCAGUGCAUACAAUCGAUGCUUCCUAUCAUCCCAGGAAAACCUCGCAUCUCGCCCUUCUUCAGAAGCCUUUGCAAGUCCAUGUGAGUAGGUCUUCGGAGGUACUCUGCCGUGUACAAAGAUUCGACUGCUCCGCAAAACCUCAUCAGGGCCUCAAGAAUGGUUGAUUUCCCCAUCCUCGUUAUCUCAUCCACUUGGUCUGCAGAUGCUCCAUACGCAAGCAUCCGCAACGCAGCAGUGAUUUUUUGCUCUGGCAGAAGAUCCAUAACACCACAAGCAUCCUUCUUUUGCACGAAGUAAGAAUCAUGGUUGCAAACAUCAGUCAUGAUUCUGUUGAACAAAUGUCGUUCCAUUCUAAAACGGCGUCUGAAGUACGUAUCAGGAAAUGCACUGUUAUGGACGAAGUAAUCGUCCAACAGCUCUUCACCCCGUCGUUGCCUGCUUCUAUCAAGGUUUUUUGAACGGCUGGGCCUGCAUAUCUGAGCAACAGUCUGGAUGACUCGACGAGAAUGUGAGGCUCUGGCCAUUCUUGUUUCGUCAUCUCUCUUUCUACGCUCCUCAUCUUCUUCCAUCUCAUUUCUGCCUAUAUGAAGGUUGAACAUUCCUUCAGAUUGGUUAAACAAUUCUUUCUCUUGCUGAUUGAUUUCCCACAUCAUCCUUGAUGAAGAAGAAGACAUUGUAGGAUGGAUGGUGAAGAAGAAGCAAAAUCUAUGAAUAAUGAGAUUGAGAUGUUGAGAAAAUUGGUGUGAGAUUUGUGAGGAUGGAUGGUGGAUUAUAUGGACGAUUCAGAAAGGAUCGGAUUGUAGAUAAGGCCACGUGGCAUGCCGUCAUUCGUUAAAAAUCUGAUCGAAAUCUGUCCUGAAAGAUUCUGAAAAGAUAAUGACACGUGGCACGAUCGUAUUGGAUAAAAAUCUUAUCGAAAUCCAUCUCCAAUAAUUAUCAUUUUGGAUAAUGACACGUGGCGCAAUUUUGAACGAGUUAAAAUCUGAUUGAAAUCUGUCUUGAAAGAUUCUGAAAAGAUAAUGACACGUGGCACGAUCGUAUUGGAUAAAAAUCUUAUCAAAAUCCAUCUCCAAUAAUUAUCUUUUCGGAUAAUGACACGUGGCGCAAUUUUGAACGAGUUAAAAUCUGAUCAAAAUCUAUCGUCAAAGAUUCUCAAACGAUAACGACACGUGGCACGAUGACAUUUGAUAAAAAUCUUAUCGAAAUCCAUCGUUAAAUAAUUGUUUUUUUUUAUAAAAUGAUACGUGGCGCAACGAUAACGAUUUAAAAAAUCUUAUCCGAAAUUACAAAUAAUUUUAUUUUGUAUUAUUUAAACAAACAAAAAAAACUAAUAUUUUAUUGCCUAUUGCCAGGGGGAGGGCUCCAAGGGUGGAGAUGCAAAUGGCAAUUACUGUUCAUUAAUGUCAGUUACUAUUCAUUCAAGGCAGUUACUGUUCAAUAGGGUGGAUUCAAUAGUGGAUUGCCAGGGGGAAGGUCUUCAUGGGUGGAGUUGCUCUAAACAUGCAGGGAAAAAAAUGAAGAUACAAAGUAGCUGCAUCAUGAAACACAUACUCCAAUUAGACGCAAAAAGUGAUGGUGAUGAGAAGAGAGAAAAUGUUGUCGUUUUGAUUUUUCUGGCUUUUAAAGGGAGCAGCUUUCUUCGACCACCAAAAAAAGGAAGUUGCUUUUCGUGUGGUUGUGAUUUCCUGAGUGUAUGUGAGCGGGUCUAUGGCACUUGCACUGUUUGUGUCGGUUAUGGUAACCGGGCGAGCUGGACACAGUAGCGUGGGACUGAAUUCGGAGAGGUGAGAAAAAUUAAAAACACAAAAAGAAGGUGUUCAUUUUGUCACAUUUUUAUUACUAAAAAUUCAAUAAAGUACAUUCAUUAGUAUGGUAACUUAACUAUUUAAUUCCAUCUCAUUAAACUAAAAAAAACAAUUACAAAAAAAUAAGGAAAACCUUGUCCAGAGAGACCUGAGAGAAAGUGACGACUUCUCCUCUCAUUCCACUCCAUACUUGAUCUCUAAAGUCCAUUUGGCAUGUAAUUGAUGUUCAAUUUCAAAUAAAGUGGUGGCAAUUAGCAAAGCUAAUGAAAGAAUCAAAUAAAAUGAAAGAAAAAGCAUCAUGAAAUAAAUCAAGAUGAAGAAUGAAAUUUUGGCAACUCGCCAUUCUCUUCUUUUAUAUAAAAGAUACAUCCUAUUUGUAGUGAAAACAGGUCCCGACAAACCCAGUUAUCCUCAAGAAGUAUUUUGUAUGACUUUAAAAACAUAAUCCGUGAAAUUAUCUCUUGGCAGAGAACAACAACAAAUCUUCAUGCAUAGCUUGUAGAGAAAGACAUCAGGCAUACAAAAGAACAGGCAAGCAUAAAAUAAACGAUGCAUGGAAAACCAAAAAUACAAUUGAAUAUGCUGUCAAAAGAACAUGAAUAAAUGAAAAUUACAAAACAAAGAAGUGAUGGGAAACCAAAGUAUUCAUAAUCUAAUUGCUUUUUAGUUUGCUUGCCAUUUUUAGUUCUUCAAUUUAGAGAGAAACCAUAAUUCAGCACAUGAAUAAAGUGAAAACGUAAAAGAUACGUGGGAUAAGCUGACAGCCAUCCCUGAGUAAUGCAUUCACUUUUGAACCCCAAACACACCGAAACAAAAAUUCACACACAUGAACUACAGCUCCGCUAUGUAACAAGAAUUAAAAGCAUCUCAAAACAAAAUGGCAAACUAUAAGAGCAUUGUAAAAGUAAAAUUGCAUCUAAUACUUGGAGGGCAAGUACUAAUCAGACGAAAAUGAAAGAUUGAACUACCUCACGUGGAACUGUGCCUUGGUUUUUUCCCAUGCUUACAAGAAGCUUUGCACUGAGCUCUUAUAGCCCAAAUUUUCUCUGAAGGAAAAAAAACACAAUUUUGGAAUAAGAUUUUCAUAUUAUACCUUAAAGAGAAGAAUUAGACAACAAAAAAGAGAACAAUGAGUACUAUUCAUCAUAUAUUGUUAAGAGUAUGUGGUCUUCUAGUCCAAUGGUCCUGCAGUCAUAUUUACUUUAUAACUCUUUCUUUUAGUCUAAAAAAACAUCUUGGAUCUCAAAUUAUUAUGAAUACGGAUUCAUACUUUAUAACUAAAGAUCUUACUGCUCUUGAUAAGAUGAACAAUACGCCAUUUAUCGCAUGCAUUGCAUUACAAUCACAAUGCAACAUCUCAUUAGAAAUCCCCACACAAAGCAGCUCCACUCAUUGUGGUCCUUGCAAACCGAAUUGGCCCAACGAUCAGCGAGAGAAAGGAGACGGCGGCGAGAUGAGGGAUAUGAUGGAUGCGAGAUCGUCUGUAUCGUUAUCGCGGGGGGUCUGCAAGACGGACGAGGAAAGUAGGGUUUGAGAAGGCAUUGUCUUCUCGCGGGGUAUGUGUCCUUCCUAUUCCACGAUUAUCAACACGUGUGCAUCAGGAGGAGCGGCAGAGAGAGGCAUUGUUGUAAAUAAAGUGAAAUCGAAGGGUAAGGGCCCAUUCUUUAAGGUAAUGGCAUGGCCAUAAAUAGAAUGAAAUCCAGAUCAAAACACUGUCAUUUGUACAGUACAAUUUCUCCAUCUUCUUCAGACUAAAGUAAUGUAUAUGUUAUACGCACCAACACAAGUCCUUCUUAGAUAAAUCCAAGCCAAACAAUUACAAACGACAGUUAUUCACAAGAAAAUCACUUUAAAGCAAGAAUUUAAUUAAUAAUACAUUACUACACUUUCUUAACAAUUUGACGGUCACCUAGCUAACAAUGAACACGUUAGCUAUGCGUUAGAACAUAUUGGGUUCAAUCCAUAGUCUUGAAUAUCACCCCGAGUCACAACUGUCUCUUGGGGCAUACAGAAGGCCUGAGAGGCAUUUGCAGACAUUCAAUCUCUCCUCCAAGCAUUUCGACAACUUUGGAAAUCGAAAGGCGAUCACUUGGUUUCAUUUGAAUACACCACAAGGCGGUUAUAACCAUCUUUCUUAUCACUUUCUUUUCCUCCUCUGUAACAUUGUCUAUUUCCAAGUCAUUUCCCACAAUAUACUGAUCAUAUACCCACAUCGGGAAGUAGAUUUGGCUUGGAUGCUCUACCGUUGCAUUCAAAUUCUUCCUUCUGCUUGCCAUUUCCAUCAACAACAUUCCAAAACUAUAGACAUCGGCCUUGUAUGAGACACCUCCAAUAUUUUUGUAGAACAACUUAGGAGCAAUAUAUCCCAUUGUACCCGUGUUGCCGUCAAAGAGACAAUGAGAAAACUCUUGAGUUCUUCAGAAACCACGAGAAACUUAAAACUGAGAAAGCUUCGUGAUCUCCCUUCCAUCUCUGCUACGCAAUCUCUGCUUCCUCCGUGAUUUCUUCCUUCCUGAUCGACAUCUAUUCGAAUUGAAAACCUUCUGGAGCUCACUACCCCCUUUGUCAGCAGUAAUUAGGGGUGGGUUCAAAAAACCGAAAACCGAAAAAAAUCGACAACCGAACCGAACCGAGGCCGAAAAAAACCGAACCGAAAAAAAACCGAACCGAAACUGUCAAACCGAACCGAACCGAAUCUGACCGGUUCGGUUUCGGUUUUUGAGGUUCAAAAACUGAACCGAACCGAACCGAACCGAUAUAUAUAUAUUUAAUUUUUUUUUCAAUAUUAUAAAUAGUUUAGGCAUACAAUCAUAACAAAACAGAACUUGUUGCCAAGUUGGUUUAAGCGAAAUUUUUCACACUGGUGGCAAUGGGUUCGAACCCUCAUGCCUUUAGGAUUUAUGAGAUUGUUUUUUAAUUUUGUUGAGAAAUCAACAAAAUCCUUUAACCCUAACUUUUUUAUUUUUCAUUCCCCUCUUCUCUCUCUUGUUCCCUGCCUCCAGUCCAAACUCCCUCCAUGAACCCUAACCCAGUAACCCUCUCGCGCCGCCUGAGCUUCCUGUCUCUCUCGCUCGGUCUUCAAUCGCUCUGUCUCUCUCAAUCUCUCAGGCAACCCGCGACAGUGCGACCCUUCUCACUCUCAAUCUCUCACACCUCGCCCUCUCCAUCAGUCUCUCAUCUCGCCGUUUCGAGUCUCGAUAGCAAAAGGUUAGCCUCCUCUCUCUCUCUCUCGGUCUUCAACUUCAAUCACUCUCUGUCUCUCUCAAACUCUCUGUCUCUCUCGGUCUUGAAUCUCAGGCGACCCACGACGGGGCGACCCAUCUCACUCUCAAUCUCUCACACCUCGCCCUCGCCGUCAGUCCUUCAUCUCGCCGUGAGCUUCUUCUUGCCGUUUCGAGUCUCGACUGCAAAAGGUUAGUCUCGCCGUGAGCUUCUUCUUGUUCGUUCGCAGACGGAAGCUCUCUACUCCAAACUCUACGAAAAGUACACAAAAAUCAAGGUGUUCUGUGUUCUUUCCCACUUCUUUACAAUUUUUUUUGCUCAUUCAUUUUUUUUUGCUUAAUCAGUUAAUUGUAUGUUAAAUUUGCUCAGGGGAGAAAUUUGAGGUUAGGGAAAUAGAAAGUAAUUGUCUUUUUUUGUACUUUUGAAUUUUUUUUGCUCAUUCAUUUUUAAUUGCAUGCUAAAUUUGAGUUGGGAACUUUUGCUUACUUGUUACCCAGUUGGAUUUUUUUGAGCUACUUUUGCAGUUUCUUUCUUCGUCUUAAUUUGGGAACAAUUUGAUCAUGUUUGACUUAUCAUUUUGUUAUUGGAGGAAAUCAGCAGCUUUAUGGUUUGGCAAGGUGUAGUGACGAUAGAUAGCCUACUUUUAUGUAUAAUUUGAAAGAGGAUGGAGAUAAGUAUAUUUCUCUGGGAAUCAGAGCUUCCAUGAUAUGUGAUUACCUGUUAUCUUUGAAUUUCUCUUCCGACUCUUGUAUUUCCUUAAGUGAAACUAUGGCCCUGCAAAUUUGACAUGUUGUUGAAGGUUGUAAAUCAUAUGUUGUUCUUUUAGUGGUAAAAAUCUUGUUAAACAUGUAUUUUCAUUUAGGUUAUGGACUCUUGGACAUGCUAAGUCAUGAUGGAAAAGACCAAAGAUUCAUUGGUAACGUGUUCUGAAAAGUAGCAUAGGCAUUGCAAUUCUCUGAGUAGCGUUUUAUUAUGGAUAACGUUUUUGGUGCUGAAGGAAGAUUUCCAUCAAACCUAGCAUCAAUAGAGCAUAUUGUUUCUUGACUACAUUAUGUAUGAGUAUUAGAGUUUAAAUUGUAAACGGAUCUGGACAAUAUAUGAAGUUGGUAUUGAUUUCUCUCAGAGAACAAAUAGAAUUGAACAUCCAGGCUUGUUCUUGUUGACAUGAUUUAUAUAAGAUAUACUUAUAUCACUUUAGAGAAAACUGGUUAUAUGCAUCUGUAUUGUCUCAAAUUAAUUUUAGGCUUCCCUUCAAAGCGUUCUUUUUGUCCAUCCAUCUGGGUGGUGUUCAAUUUUAGAUUAUCCUUUGAAUACUAGACGUCCAGAUAAUGGCUUUGUGGUCCUUCAAAUAAAUUACUGAUAAUGUUCAUGCAGUUGAUGGUGAAACAGGUAUGGUAAUUAAACGACUUCAUGUUUAGGAAUGAUAGGCUUGUACUUUGUAUUUUAAAGAUGUGUGCAUUUUUCAUAUAAAUUUUGUUCAUUGUGUUAGAAUGCUUAUAUUAUAAUUGUGUUGGAGAUGUUAAAAUUUUAGAUUUCAAUUUUGUUUUCAUUUUUCCCAAAAAAAAAAAAAACCGAAAAAAACCGAAACCGAAAAAAACCGAAAAAAAAAAUGGACCGAACCGAACCGAACCGUUUUGAACCGAACCCAGCUCUAGCAGUAAUAAUUUGUUUUUGCAGCUUUAUGUGUCUCUGUCUCCAAAUAUGAUGAUCUCUUAAUUUGCUUCUAUAGCUUUUGUAAUAUGAUGAUCUCUUAAUUUGCUUUUGCAUAUCUUCUUUGCUUCUUCUGCUAGCUCUAUAUGAGAUUCCAUCUCCAAAUAAUUGUUCCCUAUUUCCUAUUUUUACAGGAAGCAAAUCAUUGAAUACACAUGGAAAAUUAAAAUGGUUUCAGUUUUUGGUUAGUUUAAAUUUUUUGUUGGUUAUUGCUUGUAUUGUGAAAUCUCGUUCCCGGAUUUCACUGUUAUAAUGUACGUGUUUGUAUUCUCGAGAAUUUAUAUUAAGUUAUUUGAAGUUAUACUUUAAUUAAACUAGUUACGAAGGUUAGAGUUUGGAAAUUAAUUAUUUAAAAUUCGUAAACCGUCCGAGGUCACAAUUUAUAUCUGUGGAUAGAGCUAGGGGUGGGCAAACGGGUCUAGGAACCGCGGGGCGGGUCGGGUCUAGCCGGUUCGGGGCGGGUACAAGUUUUGUAAACUCAAAACGGGGCGGGUCGAGGCGGGUCCAUGUAAUUGGCGGGGCGGGGCGGGUCUAAAUUUCUGAAAAACCGGGUACCCAGGCCCGGACCGUUUCCACCGUCCAUAUACGAAGAUUAAAUCUCUACCAUUCAUUACUACCACUCUUUCUCUUAGUCGCUGACUCUCGCCUCCUCUCUCGACUUUUCCAGGAUCCAUCCUCUCUCAAGAUGGACUCAGCGCCUACUCCACCGCUCACUCCUCCUCUCGUUGAAGCCACGGCGGUCUUCAUCGGUGCUACCCCUGCCCCAUAUUCUCUCAGAUCAGAGUCGUCACUCCCCUCUCCCACUCGAGUCGAGGCCUCUUGUGAACACCACCACCGCCGUCGAAACCUCCUCCAUGAAAGACACCUUCUCCAAAUAUUCUGAUUACCUCAACAAUCUCGUAAUCCCUAAUUUAAUCUUCACCAAUUUGCAGCUCUGUGAGCGACUCGAAGGUUUGUAGAAUGACAAGCGGGAAAGGGUUGUAAAAGCAAGUCGCGAUAUCACCAUUAAUAGCAAAAAGGUCAUCUUUAAGGUUCACAGGUAAGAAAGCUGCGACCUUUUGCUUCAAAUUUUGUUUCUGUUUUUUGGGUUUUUGAUUUUGGAUUUUGGUUUUUUUUUUUAUAAUAAUUUUAUUUAUAUCAUCAUUGAAAUGAUGUUGCUGUGGAAUUUGAACUUGAACAGAAUCAAUAAACACAACAAAGAGGAAGUUCUGCAGAAAGCUGAAAAGGAUUUAGUAGCUGUGAGUCUGCGACAGAUCAGUACAUUUCCCAGCUUGUUAGAGAGAUGCAGGCUAAGUUUUUUUCUUUUAUUACUGUUACUCUGGGAUUCUUUGAGAAAACUUGAAGCUUGAAUUGUUUUUGUUUUCUGGGUGAUUUGGAAAAUGGGCGAAAAAAAAAACAAGGACCCGUGUACCCGGCCCAAACCGGCCCGUUUGAAAAGGGUCGGGUUAGGUCCGGUUUCUAUUUUAAAAUUUGUUGCACCCGGCCCGCUCCGGCCCGUUUCUUUUACACCCGGGUCCGGUCCGGUCCCUUCAAAAUUGGGCCCGGCCCGGCCCGUGCCCAGCCCUAGAUAGAGCUCGAUCUCACGAACGCGUAGGCGCAAAUCGUUCAUGAAACAGAUCUAUAACGAAGAAGUUAUAGACGUUUUAGUUGUUGGAAAAUAAAUAAUUAAAUGUUUAGAAGCUGCCAAGUGGCAGCAAGGGAGAGGGGAGAAAGGAGAGAGUGCGGGAGAGAAAAGAGGGGGACACCCAAUAAGAAAGGAGAAAGGAGGGAAAUGAGAGAAAAGAAAAAAAAAAAGGGAAGAAAAGGGAGAAACGGGUUCGUACGACCCGUGGGUAUUGCCGGCCACCCAUCUCCAUUUGCCGACGAUUUUCCGACGAAUUUCUUCAAACAACCACUUGGAAACACUCCCUUGUCCUUCCCUCUACAUGUUUCACCCUAAAAAUAAAAGGUUUUGGACUUGAAUAGGGAGAAACCGCACUAAGGGUGUAGCGGGUGUGUGUGUCAAAUCUCCCAAAUCCAAAAUGUUUACACCCAACGACCACCAUCAAAAGACUUUCCUUAAGCCCCUGAACAAAGCCCAGGCAGUGGUGGAGACGUCGGAGCAAGUUUAGAGGUCGAAUUGGAGCACACCCAAUUCUAGGGUUCUUACGGGUUUUAGAGAAAUUGGAAUACUUCUUGAUCAAAUUAGCCUUGGUCACAGGUAUAAAGUUUACUCUACUCAUUGAGAUCUUUAUUUCUGUAAUUUUUGGUAAUUUUUAAAAAUAGUUGAAUUUUUCCGGCAAAUCGGGGCGGCCGACCGCCACCCGCUGCGGCGCGUGCGGCGGCGGCCUGGCCAGCGAGCCAACGAUGUCCUUUUAAGUUCAAUUAGAUGCCCUGAUUUCAUAACUGACAUCCUUAUGUUAUGGUUUGAUUGUUUAAACCUAAUUUCAUUACGAUAUGUGGGUAGGUCAAAAUGUGAUUCGACGAUCCGACCGUUGGAUCGUCACCAAACUUUAAUGCGUCAUAGAAUGUAAUAUUUGAGGAUGGUUGGAACUAACGGAUUGGGAAUCUGAUGUAUGGAACUUCCUGAUUUGGAUUUCUAAGUUUGUAAAUCAAACAUUGGUCACCACUUGAAAUUGUAAAAUCAAACAUUGCAUAUAAGCAUGCUAGAGCCUUUAAUUGUUAAUUACAUGUAUAUGUGUUGCUAAAAUGAACUUAGUUUAUCAAAUUUUUAUUUCAAUAUCAACUUCUAUGGCAUGCGUGGUGUCUCAUGUCAAUCACACAAAUGUUAUGUAAAAAGAAUAUACACGUUGUGUUGCAUGAUUGACAAUUAACGACACAUAGUGUUAUAACCGUGUCAAUGUUAUGAAGGUUUUUAUGCAAAGUCACUUGAUAUGCCGCAACAAUUAGUAAACAAUAUUAGAAAGACCUAGAGGAACCCACAAUUAAUUCCGAUUCAAUAAGUAGGUCAUGUGCAAGCAAGGCAUGGGCUUCCCAUGGGUAGGAGCUGGAAUUUACCCAUAUUUGGUAGUUAUGUACCAUAUGUUUACCCGCAUGACGCUGAGUGUAAUCCUUCUUAAGGUUCAACAAUAUUGUUUCUAUUAACAAAUAUAAAUAAAAAAUAAGCAAAAUACUAGAGAGAUUACACGUUUAUAUUACAUUGUUGUACCAUAUUGUGAUAUGGCUGUGUACAUACCAUGUCUUGUAAUGAGUUUAUCUCAUUAGAUGUUAGACUGUUAAUUAUAUGUAUCACUUGUCAUAUCAUACAAUACAUCAAUAUGAUAUAAAUAUGCCAUCUCUCAAACAUUACUCUUAUCAGAAACCCCAAAAAAUAGGAAAUGCUCUAUACUAAAGCGGAAUGAGAAAAACAUUGUUCAUAGGCAACAGUAUUUUUACUUUUUUGCCCUCAUUUUUAAUGUUUCUGUGUUCCUACUUUUAUGCCUCUAUACGGUGAAAUCGCCAAUUGACCUAUGGGCAUGGGUGUGUAUAAAAAUUGUUUUGCACACGUGGCGUGCUAGGGAGAUUUCUCUGCAGCACUGCUUCAUUAACUGUUUCAUUUCUCUGCACCGUUUCCUUCUAGCUCCACUCCGAAUUGAUACCGAAUACUGGUCAACCAAAUUUUCUCAUCAUUUCGUUCCGUCCUUCUCCACAUCUUCAUUCUUGCUCCACCAUGAAUCGAAACAAAAAAUUGCUCAUCCAAAUUGUUUGGUAUCAGCCGCUCCAAGGAGACAAAUUGCUGAGAAAAGUAAAGAAUUCAGAUAAAAAGUGAAAUUGUUCAUUCAUAACCUUUAGGGAAAUACAGAUGGGUUCUUUAUACCCCAUUUCAGCUACUACAGACAAAAGGUUAGGUAACCCCAAGUGCUGAGUCACCAUAUUCUAAUAUUCCAUUACAAUGCAAAGGAAAUAACUUAAGGGAAUGAGCUAAAGCAUAUCAAGGUCCUAACACAAGUCAAUUUCAGUUAACUCAAAUCCCUAAAACCCAAUUUUCUCCAGAUCGUUGGAUUUAGUUUGCUGUUGUUGUUGCUAAUCUACAGGUAAAGCUUAAAUUUACAUACAAUUUUUUAUUUUUCUUGAUUGGAAUUUGGAAAGAAUUAGUUGUUCUUGGAAAGAAUUACAGAAAAUUGGAAAAGGGAAAUGGGAAAGCGAGGAAAUGCAAGAAAAUGUGUUUGGAAAAUGGAAAAUGACUUUUCUUUGGCAUUCGCUUUGACUUUCAUCCUUUCUGCGUUUGCUUUUCCUCAUUUUUUUUCUCAAGAACCAAACAUAAAAUAAAUAAAUAAACCUAUAAAAAAAAGAAAAGGAAAAUCACAAGAUUAAGAACCUGGGAAUGCAACAAUCGAGCUUCUGUGCCGAAAUAUCAAUUGGGUCCCGUUGGAUCUUCGGUGCUUCUUCUGCAUUCAAAAAGUUGGGGUAUUUCUGCAUCAUUUUUGUGUGUAUUUUUAAAUUCCAGAAGAAAGUGGAUAGAGAGAGAGGAAUAUGCUUUGGGUCGAAAUGGGAACACAAUUCCAAAUUCGCCCUCAAUCCCAAAGUUCAGUAAUUUAUGCAAUUUUUGUCGAAAUUGAUAUUCUUUAUUGCUGAUAUUUGUUAAAAAAGAGGGGGAUAAGAGCAGUAAAAAGAAUCUACAGAAAAUAUUUGUUUUGGAAGAGUAUGUCUUGAUUGGAUAAAACUCGCACCAGAGGGCGAGCGCAUCUGCUAGUAUGCAUUUAAACUUAUAAGGCUAAAUCCUUUAGGGGCGUUUGUUUGCCCUCCUUAACUCUCAUUGGACUGGACUAGAUUAAGGGUUAGUCCAAUCCCGUGUUUGGUACCCGCUAAAACUAACUUUAAUGAGACUAAAGGGGAUUCGCUCCGACUAUCUCCCUCGCUAGGAGGUCUUAGCGAGAGCGCCCUGUGACUAUGGGACUGCUAAGCCCUUCGGCUGGUAUGUCCUCAUCUCCUCUCAUCCACUCUUCUUUCUCUGUUUUCUUGAGCACCGACAGCCACCAUCACACCACCACUCCCAACUUCAGCGAGAUACACUGCUAGCCCAACACCACUCUCUCGAGAUCCAAGGAAAGCAAGCAUCAUUUGGCAAUUUUUGGUAGAAUUGCAGGGGAAGAAGAAACGAAAUGAAAAGGCUUGAAUUUGUUACAGGCCAUUGAUGGACAAGAUUUUUUUUUUGGGAAAUCGAUGAUCAGGGAUUUUUUUUUGGAGAAAUCUGGAGAUCAUGCAGCUUAUGGAACUCUCUAGAUAGAUUAAAACUCACAUAACCAAUAUGGGCAAUAAUUCAUACCUGAGAUAGAGUUUGAGAGAGCUUAAGCUCUCUGCGUUAAUGGCAGAGCGCCCGAUGGUGCAUCGAUGAUACGUACAACGCCGUAGGUGGAUUCCCCAUGUCCCAAGGGUUCGAGGUUUAGAUUUUUUAGGGUUGAUUUGGUCAGCAUCAAGAGAAAUGGUGGGGGUUCCUUCUCGGAGAUUAGAGAGAGAAAGGUUGUAGAUUAUUGUUGAGGAGAGAGAGAGAGAGAGAGAGAGAGAAAAGUGCAGAGAAAGAAAGAGAGAAUGAAAGAGGGGUCACGGGGUGAGGGACCGUAAGAGCAAGUCCACCCAUGCCAAUCGGCCGGGGGACGGGCUACAGCAAAGGGCCCGAGGGCCAGUCAAUUCAUCUCCAGCCAUGGAGGGCCCGAGUGAGGGUGGGAGCCCGAGGGCCGGGGGGGUGGGUAAUUGACAGGCCUGUGGCCCGAGGCCCGUGACGUCAGGCCUGGGUCCAGGCUAUUUUUUUAUAUUUUUUUUGUGUCAGGCGCGUGCCCCUCACUCGCGAGUGGGGGCGCGUCGCCCGACAAGAAAUCAGACAAGUGGGGUUUUCGGCCAGUUACCGUUGGGAAGCCACGUGGCUUCCCACGGUCCGUUCGAUCCCAACGGCUCUUUAAUACGAGCCGUCCGAUUUGCAACGGUAAUAAAAAAAAAACUGAUUUUAUAUCAACCGUUCGAUCUAAGAUCAACGGUUGAUAUUAAUCUGCUUUAUAAAUUAAAAAAAAAUAGUUUUAAAAUUAAGAAAAGUUACCGUUGUGACACGUGGCACAAUCUGGAGUGUUGGAAUUCAAAUUUUUUUAAAUCCAACGGUAGAAAUUAAUUAUUGGAAAAAAAAAUUUAAAAAAAAUGGAAAAAAUCCAAAAAAAUUGUAAAAAAUCUGAAAAAAAAAAUUGUAAAAAAUUGUUUUUACUUUUCUAUAAAUACCACUUCUUCUCUAUCUAUCUUACACCACAAUUUCAUAUUUUCUCAACUACUUUCAAUCAAAUUCCUAUCUUUCUCUCAAAGUUUCAAUCCAAUUUUUUUCCACAAAAUGGCUACUGAUGCAGGUUCGAAUUGGUCGCUUCUUGAAGAUGUUGCGUUGUGCACUAGCUGGGUUGAAGUUACUCAUAAUUCCGUUACGGGUAAUGAGAUGCAGUUGCGAGAAAUGUGGAGUUUAAUUCAUACCAAAUUUGUUGAGCAAAUUGGUGGGAAAAGAACCAAAGAAUCGAUAUCGAGUCGUUGGAAAAUACUUAGCCAUUCCUUUAGUACGUGGAGAGAUGCCUUGACACAAGCUAGUAAUAAUGUUCGAAGUUGGGCAAAUUAUGCGGAUGAGGUAAGAAUAUAUUAUAAUUAUUUGUUUGUAUUAUUAUUUUGUUACCUAAUUUGAUUAUAAUUAUUUGUUUGUUUCAUUUAUUUGUUACCUAAUUUCAUUAUUAUUAUUUGUUUGCAAUAUUUAUUUGUGACCUAAUUUCAUUAUUAUUAUUUGUUUGUAUUAUUUAUUUGUUACCCAAUAAUUUCAUUAUUAUUAUUUGUUUGUAUUAUUUAUUUGUUACCUAAUAUAAUUUCAUUAUUAUUAUUAUUUGUUUGUAUUAUUUAUUGUUACCCCAAUAAUUUCAUUAUUAUUAUUUGUUUGUAUUAUUUAUUUGUUACCUAAUAAUUUCAUUAUUAUUAUUUGUGGUAGAUUAUUUGUUAUAUAAUAUUUAUUUGUUAUUAUAAUUUCAUUAUUAUUAUUUCUUUCUAUUAUUCAUUUAUUAUUAUUAAUUUUUAUUAUAUUUAUUUUUCCUUACAUAAUUUCUUAAUUUAUUAUUUUGUUAUUUCUUUAUUAUUGUUAUUCCAUAUUAUUUCAUAAUUAAUUUCAUUCAUAUUAUUUAUCUUCCUAGAUAAAUUCAAUAUUUGUCUUUUGUAUAAAUUUCAAAGAGAAUUAUGUUGCAUGAAGUAUGGCCAUGCAUGUUAGUGUCCCAAAAUUCAAGCAAUGGCAUGUUGGAAGUCAUGCCAUUGAAAGCCCGUUACACCCAGGUUGCAUUGAACAGCACCCUCCCAGCACAUUUUGUACACAGCAACCCUCUCCACACUCUACACCCUGAUGGACCUGAUGAAGAAGAUGUAAAGAAGUGCCUGAAACACCCAUUCCUGAACAAGCGUCAAGCGUCGGGGUCGACCGUUUCAUUAAUUAGGCUCAAGGUAAGAAGGCUUCAAAGAGGAAAGGGAGUGCUUCCAUGAAUUAUUUACAUGAAUUUUGAUCAUUGGCUAUUUGACGUUGAAUAAUGACGGCGGGAUUUAUAGAGAUUUGAGCAAAAGAAUUGAGGCAGAAGAAGGCAAGAAUUGCAAAUUUUGAGCAAACAGAACAGAACACAAGAUUGCUACUUAGAACAGGGAAAGGCAAGAGCUACUUAGAGAAGAAACCUUAGAAGAAGAAAAAGAUGAACAAGAGAUCGUCAAUUUGAACACGCGUUUAGGAAGGUGAAUUGACGUUGGCACGGGAUUUGGCGAAAUAUGAGGCUGAAAAGGCUAGAGAAGAGGCAAAAGCUGCAGCUACUGAACAAACAUUUCAAGUUGAACAGAGGGAAAGAGAGCUACUUAGGCAAGAAAGGGAGUUGCUUAGAGAAGAAAGAAAUGCACAACGAGAUCGUGACAUUAUGAACACGCGUUUAGAAGGGAUGUCUCCAAAUUCUAAAUAUUUUUGGAAGUCGGAGAAAGCGGAUGUGGUGCGAAGGAGGCGUGUAAGAGAAGCGAGAUCAAGACAAGAUGGUCCUAGCACAACAAGACAAGAUGAUCCUAGCACCACAAAUUGGUUAAGUGAUGAUGAAUAGGGUACUUUUUGUAAUCGGACCCCAUAGUUUUCCGAUCACUUUGGGUUGUAAUUUAUUAUUUAUGUUGUUUCCAAUUUAUUGAAGUUAGUACUUUAUUUAACGUGAGAGUACAUUUAUUUAAUUUCGUAAUAUAUUUAAAAUUAAACUACAGUCAAUGACGUGUCCAGAUGCGUGUCCAUAGGCAAGACACGAGUACAGACGUGGCAAGAGACGAGGGUUGUACAACCAUGAGCUUGUGUCCGUGGCAAGGACAACAAAGGCUUGGGGCUUAGGAUGGCAGAGGAAAUACCACGGCAAGCUAGAGCCACCGACACAUCGUCGUUGCCGCCAAACUUACGUAAAAUCGUUAGCACAAAAAGCCGCCAAGGGUUUCCGCUCACUGGGAAAAAGAUAAGAUUUGUGAACGCCAAGACCACAUGGGUCACAACAUAGCAAAAUUGAAAUCUUUGUCAUCCUCAGCAUUAUCCGACCGCUAUCCACAAAUUGAAGCAACGAAUUGGGCAAGUGUGCAACAAAUUUCCAAUGUGCUUCUAUUGUGAAUGAUUUACAGGGAUUGGGUUGAAUGAGGUUUGUAGUUAAAGUGGGAUGCAAUUUAGAACACCAACGUUUGAUUAUGUUUCUCUCAUUUUUUUCUGUUCACUUUUGCCUCAUUUGUUUUUUUUGUUGCAUCGUCUCAAAAACCUUGUGCGUCUACAUGUACAUGUAUAAGUAUAAAUUUUGGUUAAAACAAAAAGUCACAUAUUUCAUAAUUAACUAUUUAAAUUUGUUGCAAAUCACAGUAUAUCUUUGUUCAUACAUUCAAACAAGCAUGACAAAUACUGAGGAAGAAAAUGAAAAUUAUUGUCACUACAAUUGUAUAUAUUUUUUUCUUUUUGAACAAACGAUAUUAUCUACACUAAGGGGGUGAGGGAGUGGCCUAAGCCUAACAAUGAGCUAGCAAUAAUAUAGUUCAAUUUGCCUUUGAUGAGAAUCGAACAUAAGACAUUUCACUUACAAGUGAAGAGAAAUAUCCUAGACCCUAACUGGAUAUGUUAUUGUCAUGGUCAUGCAUUGGUAUAGUAACAAUAUGUUUGGAUAAGGACAAUAAACUUAUAAUUUUGCCAAAAGUCAGAAUUUUUAAAUUGACACAAUCAAUUCCUUUGUUUGGAUUCAUAAAUAUAGAAAUUUAGACUUUCCGCGUGAGAAAAAACUUGGAAUUUGGUACCUUCAAUUCUCAUGUUUAAAUUUCAUGUAAAUAUGUGUCAUUUAUAAAUUUCAGUAAGUGAGAGUUUAAAAAUAACAAACAUGUAUUCAAAUUUCAUUCAUCCUUUAGGUUAACCAAACAAGAAAAUUUAUAAAUUCUAGAAAAUAAAAUUUCGUUAUUUCAUUUCUGUUAUUUUAAAAUUUUUAGGGCAUGUUUGGUACUCUACUUGAAUCUAACUUUUUAAACUCAAAAACAAUUUUCAAGUUUUAGGCCUUAAAAACUUGUUUGGUAGAACUAUUUUAAAAAACUGAACUUAAAACUAACUAAAAAAUAUAAUCUAUUAUCUAAAAACACAAAAAAUGAGUUUUUAGAAUUUGUAAACUUAAACUCACUCCUUUCUUUUCUCUCCCUGCUCCCCUCUCACUCCAAAUCUCUCUCUCUCUUUUCUUCUUUCUCUCUCCCCCUUCUUUUUUUUUAACCUUUUUUUGUCUCUCAUCCAAUCCGCUCUCUUUAUUCUCUCGGUUCUUUCUCUCACUCCUCUUCCUCUCUAUCUCCUCCGAUUCUCUCUCUUCAUUCUUUUUCAACCAAUCAUUUCUUAUUUUCUUUCCUCCCCUCUCCUCUUUCUCCCUCGACCACCUCUUUUUGGAUCUCCUUGUUCAGUUUGAGCUAUAAGAUUUAAAAAUUUUAAAUCGCAUAUCAAACAAGUUUUUGAGUUUUAAAGAAAAUUGUUUUCAAGAAAUAUUUUGAGAAAUGAUAAAAAAUUUCAAAUAUGAUACCAAACAAGCCCUUAAUAAUCUUAAAUUUUCUCGUCCAAACAAAAAGUUUUCUUGUCAUAGAACUUUCAAUUGAAAUCAAGGAAGAUAAUCUUUUCACAACUAAUUAUUCUCACCAAAAGCAAUUUUUAUUUUAUAGCAGAUCAAUACCAAAUUGCAAAAGCAAAGUAGUAAGGCUAAAAUUCAGGUGAAGAACCUGCUUCCACUAAUUUCCUUAGGAGGGAGAGAGAGAGAGAGGGGAGAGAGAACCAAGCGACCGAGCAGAGAGAGAAAACACCAAGUAGUAUUCUAAUGUUGGUGGGGUUAAGUCACCUUCCGUGAAGUUGCAGUAAGGACUUCUAUCCCAAAGAAAAGUCAGUAAAUGAUGUUGACAUCCGUCAACGACAAGGACAGAAUUGUGUAACCAUAAUUCUCUCUCUAUCUCUUUUUUCAUUAACGGAGGACAGUGUAUAAUUACUACGUAUAUAUCUCUGCUCAAUUAUUGAAAAGAAAAAUCCAUGUGCAUUAUUUUUAUUAUUAUUAUCUCAGAAAUGCAGAAAUUGAUCAUCUCUUCCUUCUGCAUAUUGAUACUGGUUUUCUUCAAACUAGUUGAAGCAAGGCAAUAUGUGUGCGCGAAAUCCAACUGUAGCAAUGAUCAAGGCCCGGCUAUCUAUUUCCCAUUGAACACCAGGCACACACAUCAUUGUGGAAAUUCUGGGCUUGAAUGCAAUGGGAGAAAUGAGCAGCAAAUACUAAUAAAAUUAUUUGUCAAACACAUAGAUUACAAGCGUCAGGAAAUCCAAGUCUAUUCCCCAAGUAACUGCCUGCUGCUAAAGCCUGUUGAAAUCCCAAACAUGCCACCCUCUCCCUUCAUCGUGUCAGUCGGUUACCUGACGAACGUUACCUUAUUCAGUUGUCCUACUUCUGUUGCAAGUGAUCCAUAUUAUCCGUAUCAAGUCCCCUGCCUCGGCGACCGUGGCAAGAGAACUUAUGCCAUUGAUUCUGACUCUGGUUUUAGAACUCUUUUCCGGAAUCUACAAUCUUGUACAAAAAUGUAUGAUGUUUUAUCAGUUCCACUAACCUAUGAAGAUUAUGUACAUCGUUUCAAAUGGUCUAUACCAAAUUGCAGAAAAUGUGGAGAGGGAAAGAAGUGUGGAUGGCAGAACAAUGAAAUUAAAUGUAUUCAAUGGAGGAAACCAAGUAAGGAUAACAUAUGUAUUCAUUGCUAGUUUUAAACAUCUUUACAUUUAUGUCUCAGUAAUUAUUAUUUAAAACAUGUUGUCCAAUCCAUUUUUACUAUGAAUAUUAACUGACAGUCUCAUUUGAAUUUGCCUUUAUCUUUUACAGGCAACACAUGGAAAUUAGUGGUUACAGGUGGAAUCCUGGGUUCUUUGCUUCUUGUUCUACUGAUGAUUGCAGCAUAUCGGGUAUAUAGCGCUGAUAGAAAGGAAAAAGAGAGUCGAUUGCGAAUCGAAAGAUUCUUGGAGGAUUACAAAGCACUCAAACCAAGCAGGUAUUCGUACGCAGAUAUUAAGAGGAUUACAAAUCAAUUCAAGGACAAGUUGGGCGAAGGAGCCUAUGGAACUGUCUUUAAAGGAAUGCUCUCUUCUGAAUUCUUUAUUGCUGUCAAAGUCCUCAACAGUUCUAAGGGAGAUGGGGAAGAGUUCGUAAAUGAAGUGCGAACGAUGGGUCAUAUCCACCACGUCAACGUGGCUCGCUUGGUUGGAUUUUGUGCUGAUGGAUUUGUAAGAGCUCUUGUUUACGAGUUCUUCCCCAAUGGUUCCCUGCAGGAUUUCAUUUCAUCCGCAGAUAGUAAGAAUUCCUUUCUUGGUUGGGAUAAGCUGCAGGAUAUUGCCCUAGGCAUAGCCAAAGGAAUUGAAUAUCUUCACCAAGGAUGCGAUCUACGAAUCCUGCAUUUCGAUAUCAAACCCCAUAAUGUUUUGCUAGACCAAAACUUCACUCCAAAAAUUUCUGAUUUUGGUUUGGCCAAGUUAUGUUCCAAGGAUCAAAGCUUGGUGUCCAUGACUACAGCUAGGGGGACCAUGGGCUACAUUGCACCCGAAGUGUUCUCCAGGAAUUUUGGAAAUGUGUCUUACAAGGCAGAUGUCUAUAGCUUUGGAAUGCUGCUGCUUGAGAUGGUAGGAGGAAGGAAGAAUAUUGGUUCAAUCACGGAUAACACUACAAAUGAAAUUUACUAUCCACAGUGGAUUUAUAAUCUUCUAGAGGAAGGGGAUGACCUACGAAUCCAUAUUGGGGAAGAAGGAGAUGGUAAAAUUCCAAAGAAACUUGCAAUUAUAGGGCUAUGGUGUAUCCAGUGGCACCCGUCGGAUCGUCCUUCCAUGAAAAUAGCGGUUCAGAUGUUAGAAGGAGGAGGAGAAAGCUUGAGUAUGCCGCCUAAUCCCUUUGUGCCUACUGGUCCUACAACUAGAAAUGCAAGACGCCUAGAGCUAGAAGCUAUUACUGAAUUAGAGUAAAAUGUAUAUGCAAAUAUGUCAACGUAUAGUAAUAUUUACAUUGAAUAAGGGCAGUUUGAUAAUCAUUUCGUUUUCAGCUUUUAGUUUUCAUUUUUCACUUUUUCAAAAAAUGAAAACUCAAAGGAAGUAGAUUAAAAGUAGAUACCAAACAAACUAGAAUCUCAAUAAAAAUAAAAAAAUAAAGAUUGAAUUGCACAACGCAAUCCAAACCAAUCAAAACAUUAAAAUAGCAAAAAUUUUUUAAAAUUCUAGUUGAUUAGAUUUUGAACAUAAUAAAAAUGAGCAGAUCCGAUGAGAAAACAAAAAGAUAAAAAUAGGGAUAAAGUAAAACAUUUAUAAAUAGCUCCUUGUCUCUUAUGUCAUCCAUUAAUUCUAUAGUAUAUAUAGAUUUUUAUUGAGUUUAAUCUUAAUAAAAAAAAAGACUUCUUGUAUCACAGAAAAUACAAGAAUCCAUUAUUUGAAUGAAAUAAAACCCAGGGGAAGGAGAUAUAAAUGGAUCCUUUUAUCCACAAUCGGAUUAUAUUUAUUUGAUACACUAUUGUCAAUAUGAAUGUUGAGAAAAGACUACAAAAGAAAAAACUAUUUAUAAAUAUAACUAACAAUUCCAAUUUCAAUCAAUUAGACAAUUAGAAUUAUAAGAAGAAAAAAAAGAAAUUUCAGUUUUCAGUUUUCAGUUUAAAAAAUAAAUAAAAACAAAAACUGAAAACUGAAAACAAAAUGAUUAUCAAAGCUGCCAAAUAAUACAAGUUUGUUUCCACUCUUUGUUUAAGCAUUGAUGCCAAUUUUUGUUUAUCAUUUUUUUAACCUUUAUUUUUUGUUACAGUAGAAGCCUAGAAGGAAAUCGAGCACUGGACUUACCAAACUCUUAAGUUAUUUCUACACACCAAGAGCUUGAUUUCGGUUCUUAUUUAUACUACUUAAGCUAUAACCCGUGAUAAGAAUUAGAGCACUAUCAUUUGUCGUGAGCUUCAAUUGGUUAGCACUUUGUAUGUUUUCAUUAGAAUUUAUAUUUCACUUAGACUUUCUUAUUAAAAAAAGGGAUCAGCUGGUGGCUUCACCACGACAGUCCAACUUUAUGUGGGCCAAGGAGACUCACAAAGGCAUUUCAGCCUCCCCCUAUAGCUACCGUCGUGUGAUUCACCAUUGCCAGGAAUCGAAUCCAAGACGUGUUGUGUGAAAUACGAGUCUGAAAUCUGUCUCUAACCACUGAGUCACCCCGUGAUGAUUAUAUUUCACUUAGACUUAUCUUGCGGUAUAGCAUGUCAUCCCCGCCCAAGUUUUUCUCUUCGCAUUGAGUUUGGGAUACCAAAACUUGCCAAACAAAGUAGAUUGAUUAGUAAGCGAAGCUAAUUAUUCGACUAAACAUUGUUUAGAAUUUUAAUUAAAAGAAACAAUAUGAAUCUUUUGUUAUUUUUUACAAACUAUAAUGUUAGGAAGUUAAAUUGUUAGUUGUUAAGGGUAGGGGGAUAGGUGAGGAUUGAACAUCCAUCAGAGUGCAUAGACAUUAUUGGUUCUACCACUGCGGUAAAUCACAUAAAACAAAACGUAAUACUUUAAGGAUGGAAGACACUUCGUGGAUCGCGGUCAAUCAACACUAUCGGUUGCUAUCCAAAACUUGGAAUUAUGUUUAUUGUCCGAAGGAUUUUUCUUCCAUUAAAUUGCUAAGGAAGAUUAGGAUGGGUGGAGUGUCAACUGUCAAGGUUGAUAAUAACGUGUAUGGUGUUAAGCUUGCAAUUUAGAUUUGUUGAGUGGCACAACAAAAUAUAAAAUUUUCCAAAUGAUAAGCUUGAGUAUAAUUUUUUUUACCACGUAUUUAUCUUUAAAAUCAUUAUAAUUAGAUUUUCUCUUAAUUAAUAUAGACCGUUAGAUUCAUCUAAUGACCCAAGUUUUUUUUCCUCUUUUCUUUCCACUCUUUUUUUCUUCUCUGAUUUUCCAUUCACCGUGUAGCAGUCGUUCUUCCCCAACUAAGUUUCUUAUUUUUCUUCACAAAAAAUUUGUAGAAAAUAUUAAGAAAAGAAAAGUCAUCAAUAGCAGACUCGACCAUGUAAUCGUUCCAAACUUGGAACUAUGUUUAUUGUCCGAAGGAUUUUUCUUCCAUUAAAUUGCUAAGGAAGAUUAGGAUGGGUGGAGUGUCAAUUGUCAAGGUUGAUAAUAACGUGUAUGGUGUUCAGCUUGCGAUUGAGAUUUGUUGAGUGGCACAACAAACCACAUAAAAUUUUCCAAAUGAUAAGCUUGAGUAUAAUUUUUUUCCACGUAUUUAUCUUUAAAAUCAUUAUAAUUAGAUUUUCUCUUAAUUAAUAUAGACCGUUAGAUUCAUCUAAUGACCCAAGUUUUUUUUCCUAUUUUCUUUCCACUCUUUUUUUCUUCUCUGAUUUUCCAUUCACCGUGUAGCAGUCGUUCUUCCCCAACUAAGUUUCUUAUUUUUCUUCACAAAAAAUUUGUAGAAAAUAUUAAGAAAAGAAAAGUCAUCAAUAGCAGACUCGACCAUGUAAUCGUUCCAAACUUGGAAUUAUGUUUAUUGUCCUAAGGAUUUUUCUUCCAUUAAAUUGCUAAGGAAGAUUAGGAUGGGUGGAGUGUCAACUGUCAAGGUUGAUAAUAACGUGUAUGGUGUUCAGCUUGCGAUUGAGAUUUGUUGAGUGGCACAACAAACCACAUAAAAUUUUCCAAAUGAUAAGCUUGAGUAUAAUUUUUUUACCACGUAUUUAUCUUUAAAAUCAUUAUAAUUAGAUUUUUCUCUUAAUUAAUAUAGACCGUUAGAUUAUCUAAUGACCCAAGUUUUUUUUCCUCUUUUCUUUCCACUCUUUUUUUCUUCUCUGAUUUUCCAUUCACCGUGUAGCAGUCGUUCUUCCCCAACUAAGUUUCUUAUUUUUCUUCACAGAAAAUUUGUAGAAAAUAUUAGGAUAAAUUACAUAAUAGCCCCUCAAGUUUGAGGUCUAUUAUAACUUCAUACAACGUCUUUAAAACAUUUCACUUUCAUACAUCAUAUACCAUUUUAUUUCAAAAUAAUAUUUCCAUUAGAUUUUCCGUCCAUUAAUCUGUUAAAUGCUGACGUGGCUGCCACGUGGUAAAAAAUUAUUUUUUUAUACAUUAACAAUAUUAUAAUAUUAACCCUAUUAAAACAAAAUAAAAAAUAAAAUAAAAAAACAAGAAAAGCCCGAACCCAACCCAGAUCCCCUUCCUUCUCCCUCACCUCUCUCCAACUCCUAUUUACAAAAUCCCUUCCCCCAGAAGAACAAGAAGAAACCAAACUCGUCUGUUCCCCCCCCCCCCCGCGACGACCCACCUGCCCGUGACCCACCCCCCCCAUCCCCGGGCGACAACCCACCUGCCUUCCUCUGCCCUUCCCGUCGACGAUAAGCUCCCGCGACCCCCCGCCCUCCCUCAGCGACGACAAGCUCCUGCGAACCCCCCCCCCAGCGACGGUUGUGGUUUUGCAGGUAUUUGGGUUAUGGUUUUGCAGGUAGUGGGUUGUGGUUUUGCAUGUAUUUGGGUUGUGGUUUUGCAGGGAGUGUGUUGGGGUUGGUGUGGAGGAAGAAGAAGAGUGGGAGAGAUGGGUAAGGGGGUGGGGGUGGGGGUGGGAUGUGGGUUGCGGGGAAGGGGAUCUGGGUUGGGUUCGGGUUUUUCUUGUUUUUUUUUAUUUUUUUUUAAUUUUUUUAGGGUUAAUAUUAUAAUAUUGUUAAUGUAUAAAAAAUUAAUUUUUUUACUACGUGGCAGCCACGUCAGUAUUUAACAGAUUAAUGGACAUAAAAUCUAACGGAUGUAUUAUUUUGAAAUAAAAUGGUACAUGAUGUAUGAAAGUGAAAUAUUUUAAAGACGUUGUAUGAGGUUGUAAUAGACCUCAAACUUAAGGGGUUACUAUGUAAUUUACCCUAAGAAAAGAAAAGCCAUCAAUAGCAGACUCGACCAGGUAAUCGUUCCAACCUUCCCAGCAACUCUGUCUUAACAAGGCACCUAAUUUUCUCCGCCACCUAACUCGUCAUUCAUUCAUGGGUGUUUCAAGCUUGGUGAUAAUUGAUGGAGUUCCAUGUGUGUACAGGGAUGUGAACAUAUUGGCCACUCUCUAAGAAUGAGUUAUUGGAAAUUUUGAAGGAAAAAUGUAACUGAUGAAAUAAUGGAUUGGAAUUGCAAUGAAGUCUGUGUUGGUUAUCACAAAGAUCCCAGAUACAAAAUUUUAAAAGCAAACAAUUACAACUUCUCUAUUAUUAUCUAACAAACUUUCAAUGAAAUGUUGCUCAUAAUUGAAAAAGGUUGACGAAGGACGGAGUUGGGGUUAUUUUAGACAGGGCCGGCGCUGAGGGGUGCAAGUGGUGCUACCGCACAGGGUCCCCAAAUCGGAAGGGCCCCCGAUUUUUCAAUUUUGCAUGCAUUUACUUAUAUAUAGUAGUAUGUGUAAAAUAUUACAAACUUGAGUCUUAGUGCAAGUGGAAUUAUAGCUUCUUUACAUCGGCUUAGGGGAUAGGUUCAAAACUCAUCUCCAUCAUUUUUUCAGUUUAUAUUUUUAUUAAAUGCAUAAGCUUCCACAAAACAAUAUAAACCUUUCCACUGGUUGAUUUGUUAAAUUUGUUUGUGCUAUUAGAAUUUAUAGAAGCUCAAUUGAAAACUAAAAUUAUUAUUUUGAACAAAAAAAUAUAAAAAAAAUAAUAAAUUCUUAGAACUUUUUAGAGCCUCCAAUUCACUUUUGCAUAGGGCCCCUGAAAUCUCAAGGCCGGCUCUGAUUUUAGAUGCGUAAGCGUUAAAAGAAGGAAGUGUCAUUUAAUUGAGAAAAAUGAUUGGAGAAAUGAUAAUUCAAUGUGGGCGUUUUUAAGGUGUGGACCUUGCGACCGGACCUUGAGUGGGGAUCAUAAUCCAACGGUCAUGAUCUGACGAGCUCAUGCUUAGAAUAGAGUUGUUGUGACCCAAUGCAAUUCAAAACUUUUAUGUUUUUUUAUUCACUGGGUACGUUUUUGUACGAGAAAAAGAGGAAGUCCAGGGAUUCUUUGCGCAUUAAAGAGGGAAAGAGAGAAAGGGAGAGCUAGGUUCUUGGCGCGUUAAAUUUUUGCUUCUGAUUUUGCAACCUAGAAAUAAGGUAUUUUCUUUAUGGUUUAUGGUUCAAGAAUAUAAUGGAUGCAACCUAAAAAUGUUUAUUUUUUAUUUUUACCUUUUUCCUUAUGUUGACUUUUGGUUUAUUCUUGAUCUGUUCUGUACUGAUCUUUUAGGUUCUUAUAAUGCACUAUAUCAUAUAUACUAAAACUCAAACCCCAUGGUCACUGUGGAUGACCAGUGUGUGGACCGUUUUGCCCCUCCAUUUUUUCUCUGUUUUGGUGUUCUCUUCAGUUUUUCGCACAAUAAAAACCCUAUUUUGCCCAUUCUGGACAGGUGUUGGUCAUUGGAGUCAGUUGGUCUACCUACUUUUCUUCUUCUUUUCUCCCUUUUGUUUUCAGAAUGGUGGACAGGUGUUGGUCAUCGGAGUCAGCUGGUCUACCUACUUUUCUUCUUCUUUUCUCCCUUUCGUCUUCAGAUUUUUCAUUGUUGUUUUCUCUCCUUCUCCCUCUCUUGCCAAUCGCUUUCUUCUGUUUUUGAAUCUUUCCCGGUUUUCGUUUUAAGCCAGCCACUGCUUCUUCUUUGUGUAUAGCAGCGUGGUGUUAGUUUGUUGGGAAAAAACACUACCGGUGGUUUGCGCUCUUUCGGUUGUUUGGUUGGGUUCGAAGGUUUUUCUAUCUGUAAAGGGUGGAUUAUCCUGGUUAGUUGUUUGCCUUUCUCAUAUUAGGUAUUUCUUUUUGUUCCUUACCGUUUUUCAUUUUUGUGGAUGGGUUUCCUGUUUGCAGCUAUGUUUUGGAAAUUUGGGGUUUUUGCUACCAUCUUGGGUUUUUGGGUAUGGUUCUUCGUUCUGGUUGAGUCUGGAAUUUUUCUUUUUUUUUUUGUUUGGUUUCGUCCCAAACUAAUUUUAGUUGUUUGGUGCUUUUGUGUGCAGGUUUGCAAGCCGUGUUUGUUAUUGGUGAGUGUUUUCCUUUCGUCCCUUCAAGGGUUUUGGAGAGAUGAGUUUUGGUUUUCUUGUGGUGUAAGAAUUGUGUUAUGCUAUAUUUUGUUUGUGUUUAAUGCUUUCAUGUUUUCUUUGAUUUAAUUUGAAGGAAAUUUGUGUUAUUUCCAAGUUAUGUAAAAACAAAAACUGAGUGAUUGAAAAAUGUAAAGAUCGAUUGACAGGCAAGAAAAUGAAGUUAAAUUUUAUUAUCCAAAAAUGAACCUGCAGAAAAUUAAAAAAAAAUUGACAGUGAAUUUGUUUUAAUAGUUAAACACACUUUAAUGGGUGAUUGCAAAAAUUUCAGAUUGUGGACUCGAUUGUGCCGGUGAUGCAUGACCGUUGUUCUCUUCUUUUUGCCUCAACAGAGUGCAAGUUAAUCUCAUGUAGCCAAUAACGGUGUUGGCAUUUUGUGCUGAGAUUGAUUAAUGUCUUGAUUUCUUACCCAAUGUUGAAUCAUUUUGAAACACAAUAUUGUUGUUUGCUGAAACACAAAAUGAUUAACUUCUCUCAACGUGUAGUGUGUGUUAUUAUUAAUACAUUUUAUAGGUUCUUUGAAUGUGACAUCAAAGUGUAUUUCGUUUUAGGUGAUGUCGCUGUUUUCGUUUGUUUUAUUUUUUUGGUUCUUCAGUUUGUUGUUUUGAUCUUAGGUUAAUAUGCUUAUACAAAUGCUGAGCAAUGGAUGUAAUAGAUUGGAUUAGGUAAACAUUUUUGUGAUGGUAAUCAUUCAGAAGUGAUAAGGCAGUUAAUAGAUCAAUAAGUUGUUUGAAUAGCAGAUGAAAAUGUGUCUGUCGUGUUUGGCUGGAGAUUACAAAAGUGAUUGGAUUUUGACAAAAAUUUAAUGUUUCCUAAAAUUUGUUUAUAAUUUUUGGGAAAAAAUCAGAGCACCAAUUGGAGUAUGUGUUGAAACUAUUUUUUAUCCGUUUUUCUAAUGAGCGUGGUUUCAUCUGCUAGGCUAAUUAUGUAUAAUUUUUUAUUCCAGUUGAUGAUGUUUGUCUUUUUGCACUGUUACAGAUUUUGCACAGAUUCUUCGUUCAUAAUUUGUAUCUCUUAAUUCAGUUGUGUUUAGCUAAGUAUGAACAUAAAUUAUGUGUAGUUGGAAAAGUAUUGGUGGAGCUAAAAAAAAUUUGAUGGAUUUUGCAACAUGUUUAAUAGCAGUUAAAAAUGUGUUUUCUUUUAGCUGACGACAUAGUUUUUCAUUUCUUUAAUUCUUUUGGUUGUUUUCUUUGUUGUUGUAACCUCAGGGUAAAAUGUUUAUACAGAUAGUUAAUGAUAGACUUGCUAGAUUGGAUUAUAAGAGUUUGGAUCAUGGUUAAUCUUGACAGUUAAUUUUACAAUGUGAUAACUGCUACAAUCAAAUGGAUAACUAUAAUAUCUAUCUUAAUGGUCUCCAAAUUUAACCUUUUAUGUAUAAUGAUUUUCCAAUGUCUUUACUAUUAUUGGUAUUCCUCUUUUGUAACACAACUUUUCACAACCCGGUUGCCGCGGGCACUAAAAACUAGUAUUAACUAAAUUUAUAAACAUUUUGUAUCUUUCUUGCAGUCUAAUUAAUCGUAUGGGUCGGCAUAACGAAUUUUGAUUGAGACAUACAUAUGUUUUCCACUCUUAAGUUUAACUUGACACAGCCCGACCCCAAUAUCUAGUGGACACCAAAAUCAAGGUGUACUAGCCAUCAACUGAAUAGGUGACGAAACUAUAAUAUGCAUGAAAACAUAACUAAAUUAUCAACUAAUAAAAUUAAAUUUGGCAGAACAUCCCUUAAAAUAGGGAUAUGCCCAAAUUAAAAACACGUGCACAUGAUCACAAUUAUUCAAACAAAUCCCCGAAGGGUCACACUGGGCUGGUUUGGUAUUGCUGUGCUUUGAAAAAAAGCUGCUGUGAGAAUAAGUGGCUGUGUUGUGAGAAUAAGCGUCUGUGAAAUAAAUCAGCAGAGUGUUUGGUAAACUUUUUUGUAAAAGUGCUUUUGAAAAGAAAAGCAGUCUGAUAGUGGGUAUUUUCAUUAAAGGAGCACUGUAGUUCUGUGAGCUUUGAAAAAAAAGCCAGUUUUUCAAAGCUACAAAUUGCAACUUCAGCUUUUUCCUUUGAUUUCAGCUUAUUCUCACAGCAGCUUCCAAAAUAAGCCAUUUUUUUAAGUUUACCAAACACCAAAAAUACUCCCAGCUUUUUUUCAUAGGAGCUUUUUUUAAAAUCACCUCAACCCCAAACUGGGGCUUAAUGGGACUUCGACCAUCUAUUACAUGCAUGAGAAUAUGUUCAGAGCAUAAUUACCCAAACACGUCUUAUUAAAAUAUUGAGUAAAUACCAUACAAGAUAGAAUACGUCAAAGCUGUUGCAAAAUACCUCAACGUCGAAUGUAAUCACUCAUACAAUUAUUGAAUCCUGUAUACAUGGAAAGCUGAUACAUACAUGUAAAUUGAGUGGAUACUUACCAGCGGCAUAGAUACAAUAUCAUCCACUAGUCGUAACUUGUGAUAUCCCGUCCCCAAAUUAGUAUUUUAUUUUAUUUUUGAUGUAUUACGGAGAUUUAAUUAAAGUUAGUUCGUUAAUUUUCCGAUUUCAAGAAAAGUGAAGUGAAGGGUAUUUCUACUAUUUCAAAUUUUACUCAACCUUUUCGGCCAACUCUUGAGUUGUUUAGGUAAAGCUUAAUUCCACGAGCGCGUAGACGCAAACAAAUCUUAAUUCCAAAUUAGAACGGAGAAGUUACGAACCUCGGAAGUAGUGAGACCUUUUAGACAUGUGGAUUUACCAUGAGGGGGUGAGUUUCCUUUAGCAUCUGCUAAAUUAGCAGGUUUCCUUUUCAGGAAACCUGACCCAUAACCCAGAAAACCCAACCCAAGUGACCCACCGUGAUUUUCCGAUGCCGAUUCCGGCCAACUCUGGGGGUAAUUUUUGACGCCAUCACCACCAUCUUGAAGCUUUCACUUCCCUCUACAAAACCCACCCAAAAACAACCUUGAUUAACCACCGUAUGUGGUGGUGCGAGGCCAUAAAAACCGACGAAAACCAACAGUACUCCGGCCACCCUUUUCAUUUUUUCGGCAAAUCGGCAAAGCGACGGCCAACGCCACCACCUGGAACUUGUAUCCCAUCAUCCCGGGAGUAAAUCCCGACCAAACUUGAUCCCGUUCGACCACCGCAGGCGGCGAAUAGACACCGAGAAGUUUUUUAGGCACCCGUCGACUUUAUCGAUAAAAUUGACCAUUUUCUGUCCACUUUUGGACUUCGUGGCAGAUAUAAAACUUGUUCCUCUUGUUGAGCCCUAUCUUCUUGUAAAUUUGGGUAGAAUUUGGAGUUAGUCUAAAAAGUGGGUGUCCGGCAAGAAUUUGGAGUUAGUAAAAAAAGUGGGUUUCCGGUUGCCGGAAACCACCAUGCGCGGCAACGCUUGGGGGAGAAUCUGUUUUCAUGGAUUUUGGACAGCGAGACAUUCUUGAUGUCCUGAGCCCAUAUCCAAAGACCAUUUUUCGAAAUUUGAUACGAUGGUUGGAUUAUUCAAUUUUUCGGAUAAUUGUAUCAUCGUAUGAUUUUUGUAAUUGACGACAAUCCGACCGUUGGAUCGUCGUGCAAUUUUGUGAGCACCUUAUUUAUCAGUUGUUGGACCUUUGAGAACUUACGGAUUGGAAAUCUGACAAGCGGAUCUUUCGGAUUGAAUAACCUUAGAUUGUUGACCUUAGUGGACCUACCUUGUUGACGUUUGACGUUCUAGUCAACAUGCUCUACUCUAGAGUGUCGUUUAUCUUUAGUUUGUUGUUGAGGCUUGAUGGAGCAUAGUUGGCUCAACACGAUGAUGUGUCGUUCCUGGUUGACAUGCGUCUCGAUUUAUGUGCAAGUGGCAUUUGAUCUCGUUUUAUGUGUCAGUCUUAUUAAGUUUCCUAAGUGGGGUUUGUGUGUUGUAUUAGGUUCCUGGAGGCGGAAAUGGUGAAUCUAGAAGUGCAAAUAACCCAGGUGAGUGACAUUAAUGUUAUGUGAUAUGGUUAUUACCCAUGAAAUUCCUUGUUAUAUACCAUGUGGAUAUGACAUGGAUUUCCAAAUGAUUAUAUGGAAAUGUGUGCUACUAUGCUGUGUUUACUUGAUGGUGUUAUCAGAAAUAUAUAUAUAUAUAUAUAUAUAUAUAUAUAUAUAUAUAUAUAUAUAUAUGCUUGAAAUGAUUGUGAUAUGUGAGGGUUAGUAGAUGACCGCUAACCCAGUACAUGGGGUAAUGUGGGAUAUAAUCGGAAUAUGCACCGUGUAGCAGUGGUACAUGGAUGGUCCUACUUGGUUAAUCCGCAAUGGGGGACCAUACUACCUUGGGAUCGUGCUUGGUUAAUCCGCGAUGGGUGAUCCUUAUUACUUAGGUAUGGCCAUACAUACAUAUUUAGGGGUGAUCAUGCUUGGUUAUUCCGCGAUAGGUGAUCACUAUCUAUUAGUAUUCGUAGGAGUGACUCUGUUUGGUUAAUCCGCUAUGGGGGGUCAUUACCUACAUGAUGUUCUCAGGAGUGGUUUUGCUUGGUUAAUCCACAACGGGGGACCACAUCCUAAUCGGUUGCCUAUUGUAGGCUUUGGUCGAACUGUCUCUCUAUAGCCCUAGACUAGUAUCCAUUACAUAUAUGAAAGAUGAGAUUGACAAGCCUGUGUGGCUCAAUCUAGAAAGUGGUGAUUGAAUCAAAUAGUUUACAUGAUGUUGUUGCCUAAAAGAGAUCCGAUUCGGAUGUGACUCAUUCCCACUCGUAAUGAAGAAUUGCAAUAAUGAAAAAUGUACCAAUCUCAUUCCUACGCGUCAUAGUAUUGUGUGUCAUUCCUACACAACUUCGGGUUGUGUGAUGACUGAAUGUUAUCUUAAUAGACGUGUGGUGAGAUUCAAAAUUGAAUAACCAUUCCUAUACGUAUAAUGAGGUGUAUGGUGGUUAAAUUAUAAUAUAUGUGAAAAUUGGACCCUUGUGAUUAUAGGAAAAUGAGAAAGGCGAGUGGUGAGUCACAAUCCGAAGAGAAUGACAGAAUAAUAUUGAUGGUGAUCACAUUGACGGUUGAUACGGUAUACAGAAGAAGUGUCAAGUGUGGACAUAGCACUACUUUGACAUUUAAUCAUUUGAUGUUGCUUAUGUUGUAUUAUUGUCACUCACACGAGCUUCGUAGCUUAUCCAGAUUUUGAUUUGCUCGGUGCACCAUUCCUAUGAUGUAGGGUUAUUUUGCAAAGUAACUGGUAGCAGUUAGAGGAGAAGAUUUCAGGUGGUGUAACUAUGAGGGCAAUGCACUUGAGAGUAAGUUUUGCCAUCAUUUGUUAUAAGUUAUUCAGAUGAUGCUCUGAUGUAUAUUAUAUGUAUGAGUCUUAGCGACUCUAUGUAUUUUAUAUUGUACCGCUACUGUUAUUCCGUCACGUGUUGAUUUUGGGCAUAUCUCGGGAUUGGGGCAUGACAUAACUAGUGAAAGCUGGAUAGUAUAAUCAUGUCAUUGCCGAGUAAUCUCAAGGCAAUGACAAGCUGAGAAUGUAACUGAGUAAUCAUGUCAUUACUGAGUAAUCUCAAAGUAAUGACAAGUUGAAAGUAUAACCAUAUAAUCAUGUCAUUACCGCGUAAUCUCAAGAUAUAAUUGUAGUACCUCUUAUUAGUGCAACUCCAUCUCGCAUAUAUAUGCAAGCCAUAAUCAAACCAAUAAACAUCCAACAAAAGCCACAAUCUAUUUAACAUUCGACCACAAGAUCAAUAUUCGUAUUUCCCAAACCUAGGUUUCAAAGCAUUGUUUCGAAUUAUUAAUACAAGAAACCACCACCACCUCAAUCAACUCCUAUUCACAAGUGUAAGCAAUUACUAAAUGCAUCACUUUCGACUCUAGUCUUAUUUAGAUUACUUGGGAUACUCAUUCACACCAUCAGAUCCAAGUACUAUUAUGAUUAACUUUAAAUAGCAUGGUUAAAAUAAAUGAAACAUUUGAAUGAAACACUUUUAGAAAAUAAGUGAAGAUGCUGUUUACAAAUAUAGAUGCAUCUGUAUAUAAAAGCUUUUGCAUCUGUAUAUAAAAGCUUUGGCGGUUGGUACGUAUACACUGCUAGAGAUAUAAGUAAGUUCAUUGGAAUAUACAUACAUAGUUAUAGUAUUACGGUAUAAUUACUAAGAAAACAAUUCCAUCCCUUUCAGAUUAUGUAUAUAUAUAUAUAUAUAUAUAUAUUUGUUCUUCAGACAUAUGCAAAAGUUAAUGUAAAACCAAUGAGAACUUAAAUAGAUAUCUCAUACAUAGGACAAUUACCAUAUAUGUUUUUUCAACAUUUAUAUCGAAAAGUCAAAUUGUUUCGAGAAAAUUGUAGCAAUGAUCUCUUAACUAAAAAUUCAUGACUAUUGAUCCCUUAACUCCACAAAAUGUGUAGUUAUGGUCAUUUUCGUCAAUUCCGUCAGAACUUUUGUCAAAACAAGUAAUGUUAGAAUAAUCAUUGCUACAAUCAGGUUAAAGUUGGAGAACUAUUGCUCUAAUUGGGUUAAAGUUAAGGGACAAGUUCUCCAAAUUGCUUAAAGUUCAGGGGUCAUUUCUACAAUUUUCUCAUCUAGUUUCCCAUAUUUACCUCCUGAUUUAGCUUCACAUGCAUUGCAGAUGACUCAUUUUGACAGAAGUUUUAACGAAGUUGACGAAAAGGAUCAUAAAUGCACGUUUUGAAGAGUUGAGAGACCAAUGGUCGUGGAUUUUAAUUGAUGGAUCAUUGCUCCAAUUGAAUCAAAGUUGAGGAAUCACUGCUACAAUUUCUCUCAAAUGUUUCAUAUGUGAAAAUAGGCAUUUGUAAAGUUCGGAAAACAUUGGCUUGUUCAUGACAUUACUUUAGUCUAAAGUAGGAGAGAGCUCUUCUCUCUACCAGUGAGAGUCCUUCGCACCUUAGUGUGAGUUUUAGCUUUCUCUUCCGGUUUUCUGUGUAGCCGCCGGCCCUGCUAUGGCAGUCCAUGCUUUUUCUAUUUCCUUCUUAUUUUCUUUUCCCUUUUUGUUGUCAGCAAUAAGCCCACUCCCUUUUCCUUCCCGAUCUACACCUUUCUUGCCUUUAUUUUCACUAUUUGGAUCCCAAAUUCUAUAUCUUCCAUUUCCUUUAACACCCCCACCAUUUGGCCUCACUAUCUUUCCACUAAAUCUCAAAUCGAUUCGCCUACCUUUUCUUGCGAUUUUUCGCGUUCUAAUAGGAGGGUGCGUAGAGCUUUGGCUCGGGUGUCCACACCACCACCCUUGUUGACCCCGGUUGGUCUUUCUCGGUGUUCGCCCUUGUUGGCGAUGUCGCUCGUCGGAUAUUUCUUCCUGUGGGCUUCCUUUGUUUCUGGGUGGCGUACGUUUUGGUGGUUCGUGGAGGAUGGUGCAGCCUUCUUCUUCUUCAACUUUGGUUUCUGGAUGGUGAUGGAGAUUGGCUUCUAAGCUUCCUUAUGAGGUGUGUUGGCGGUGGAGAGAGUUUCUACAGUAGCUUUAGAAACUUAGGGUUGUGUUUUGUUGUUUGUGGUUUGUGUAUGUUGGGCUACAAUGUAGAGUUGGGCUUGUUUGCUUUUUGUUCUUGGAGGUCCAUGUUUGUUCUUUGUAAUUAUUGUGGUUUUGGACCUCUUUGUGUUUAAUGUUUAUGUGUUUUUCUCUUCUUGGUAAUAAUAUUACCUUUUAACCAAAAAAAAAAAGGAGGGGGAACGGCACUGUACAAUUUUGGGGUAGAUUUCAUUUUAUUUACGAAAUUUGCACUGAAUCUCCCUGCCCCCUGAUUUAACGUUAUUUGCAAAAUUGCCACUGGGUUUCAGAAAAGGGUUUUGGGUCUUUGGGCUGGAUGUGGCCUUUUACUCGGGGAGAGAGACGGAAGGGGACGUGCGGGUGGGUGUCCUGUGGCUGAUGCAUCGGUCAGAGGGUUGUUGGAGGGAUGGGAGGCCAUGCCGCUCUGGGAUCGAGAUAGAGAGACAGAGGGAGAGGGAGACAGAGCGACAGAGAGAGAGAGAGGGAGAGGGUGGUUCGUUUUCCAUUUGCUUCCUGGAAGUCGAAGCUCCAAUUGCAUCCAUUGUCAUUUCGAUUUGGGAGAGGGUGGUUGCUGUAGCCUGUCGGUGAGAUUGAGGGAUGGGUGUGAGAUUCGGUGAGGUGAAAGGUUACAGGGAGAAGGAGAGACAGGCAGAGAAAGGGGGAGGCGUGGGGUGAAUAGGUCCCCAUAUGAACAAAUCCAUGCUCAGAACUAAUUUAGGGUUAGGGUUCUGAAAUUAAUUUUCCCCCAAUUUGCCCUCUCUCUUAAAUCACCAUAUCCAGGUAAAUCCUAAUUGUAGAUCAGACUUCUAUUACAAUUUGCUUUCUUUGUGAAAUUUUAUGGUAAUUUACACUAAAGUCUGUGGCUUUUGAAAUUCUAUAUGAAAUUGUGAAUGUUGUUCGGAAUCGAGUCCGGCCAAGUUCUUUGCUAAAUAGUGCGAAAAUAUGCAUGAUGGAACUAAAUUACCUUUGUAUCAUCUACAUUUACCCGUUAUCAUAACAGGAUUUAAAAUAUAGAAACAUACUGCUUAUAGGAUAUUAAGGUUGAAGUCAUUUAGUUCCAAAGAUGCCAUAACUAAUGUAUCAUUGAGUGAAAUGCCAGUUUACAAAGAUAUUGUGCUUAUUUGUUUUAGGUGGAUUACCAAAAGGAGCUCAUAAAGUAUUCUGCGAGCAUGAUCGACCUUGAUCAUUUGGAUAUUUAAAGGAGCCAUUGAUCAGGGGAAGACGACGAGUUGUGAACCUGUGUGCCAAUUUUGCCAAUUUUGCAGACAAGCAGAAACUCUGACACAGUGAUCAAACAGGCUUUCAAUUUUAAUUUCUUUUUUCUGGUUUUAGUUUCAAGUUUUGGAAGCGUUCUCAAUUUUUCAAAAAUUUCAUGAAUUUAUUGCAUUUUUUAAAGCAUGAUCUGAUUUUAUUGUAAUUUGAAAUUUUUUGAUCUGGGUAUGCCUUUUUUAUUAUUUUUGCUAAUUGGAUCUGAUUGUUUUGGUGUUCAGAGUAUGGAAAGUAAAAAAUUUCAACUUUGGCGAACAAUUAUCUCACUUGGACAUAUAUAUGGGUUGAUGCAAAGGUAACCGAUCACUUUCUUGAACCAUAAAUGCCGUUGUGAAGUUGUUGUUCUUAGCCAAUUUUCUGUGGAUCUAUCUAGGAUUGAGUUGGUUGUAUAUAAUUUAAGCAUUGAAGGUGAGGUGGUGUUGCUGUCAUUUAAAUAAUGCUUUAUAUUUAGGGGAUGACUUGCUAAUGGACUUACUGCCCCGAAAUCUGCGAAAAGAGUUUAUGAUCAGAACCCUGACGAGACCUUGAGUGCAAAAGCCUUUCGGUUUCAUAAGUCUCAACAAAUUUGAAUGUCAAAGGAAUAAAAAUCUGCCCUUAAGCAUCUCUAUUCGACCAAGCAUGAAAUCCUAAGCACUUAUCACCACAAAAAAAUAAAUAAAUAAACAAGCUGAAAAACCAUGACCAAAGGCACUUAACAGAGCCUUUCACCGGGUCAGAACCCACCAUUCCAAGCAAUAUCCAGCAAGGUUUCACCUAAAGGCAUAUGACUCUUUUUAUAUGUUUUGCUCUUAUUAUACAUUUAAAAUGUCUUCCACUAUUUAACAAUUGUAUCCUUAUAAAUUACCUAUGAAUUAUCAACUUGAAGGGAAAUUAUAGGACAUAAGAACAUAGUUUGAACUGUGCUUAGUAUUGUUCUGUUAAACAUAUUCGUACAGCCAAAGGCCUCUGUUAAAUAAUUUAUAUCUGCAUUAUGUCCUUCUCUAUGAGUCUAUGAUUGCAAUAUUAGUGCUGUUCCUUACCAAAAAAAUCUUUUAAAAAUUAGGUUUCUCAGUUAGGUUAGUGUAUGUUAGUAUAUGUUUAAAAAUUACAAAAACAAUUCAUAAUUCACGAACGUUCCUGGCUGGAAGGUAGGUUAGUGUAUAUUUAAUUUAGCUCCCCUGUAUUUUUUAUUUUUUUGUUUUGUUGGGUGAUGCAGUUUGAUCGGAUCCAGUUGUUGGAUAUUCCCUGAAGUACCAAGAAGGAACUGACUACUGGGAUUUUUUUGGCAAGUAAUAAUUUUUAAUUACUUACACGUUUUUUUUUUUUAAUUUUAAUUUAUGAUUUGAUUGGCCCUUUCUUAUAUAAGUUUCGAGCCUCAUAAUUGUUGGACCAUUGAUAUUGUUGAGUGUUAUUAGUGAAUGCGUUUUGAGUAUGUUAGCUAAUGGGUUAUGUGUUGGGAGACUCACUUUGCAUAAACAACUUGCAGUAGCUCAUACAUGUGACAUAGCACUCCUUUUAUUACAAAUGGUUGAUAUUUCAAAUGCUAGGAAUGCAGUCCAUAAUAUAUACUUCGGUUAUGAAUUCUAAUUACAUAAUUCUGUGGUGAGCUCAAGAGCUUUUGAUUUGCUUAAGCCAUAUGGCGAGUUGCAGCCUCUUUCAACUUUGCUAAUAAAGAAUAAGCAUAUUUCAAUAUCUUCAUUUUUCUUUUAUGUUGAAAUUAGAACGUAGUUUUUUCACAUGAAAAUUGAAGUUUUCCAUGAUUGAGAACUCUCUUUUUGUUCAAACUGUGUUACAAGUUUGUUUUUUUGUUUUCUUCCAGCAGGUGGACCUAAAAACAGACCAAGUAUGCAAGGGAAUGCUAGGAUCAACGUAUGAGAGGUAACUCUGCCUCUCAUGUUAAAUUUCUAUUGUGGUAUUUUUUUCAUUAAAUAUUGGUCAAAACAUUGUUUAGUAUAAACCUAAUCACAAUACUAACAAGGAGAUAGAUUAGAAAUAGAGAGGUUUUAGUUUGAUUUAAUGUUUACUUUAAAGAUUUUGGAUAAUGAUUAGGCCUGGCAAACGGGUCGUGUCAGUCGUGUUCGUGUCGUUUUCGUAUAACACCUGUUAUCUUAACGGGUCGUGUCGUGUCACACCCGUUAUCUUAACGGGUCUUUAACAGGUCGUGUCACUUUACCCAACGGGUAAAGUGACCCGACCCGUUAUGACCCGUUAAGAAAAAUAUAUAUUUUUUCUUAAAUUUGCACAUACCACACAUUGCCACAUAAAUAUUACUUCAAAACAUUAAAACACAUUUGUCGUUUAAGUACUACAUCUACACUCGAAAAUAAGAGCCUAAUAAAAAAAUAAUACAUACAAUAUUAAUCUAUUACAAAUUUUAAAUGUUCAAGGAUAUGCAAAAUGAAACAGUUUUUGUUUUCAAGGUUGUGAAAUCUUUCUCAAAAGUUUAAACCUCAAUUUACAAAAUCCUCGAUUUACAUCGAUCAUCAUGAAAUUGCAUUGGAACUUUGGCUUGAUCUAUUGCCUUCAAGAGUUAUGUUGAUGAUGUUUUCAGUAAGGUUUUCCACGUCAUAACUAUCUUCUGCAUAAACUAAGCAUAGCAAAACCAAACAUUAAAAAUCAUUCAAAUUAUGAGAAGUUUACCAAAAUAAUUAUGAAAAAAAAUAAAACAAUAGUACUAUACCAUACUUUUAUUAAGUAUAAACAUAAGAUUUUGUGGUAUCCACUAGUAUAAAUAUUUUAAAUUGAAGAUCGAAUUCAAUCAUUGUAUUCAUAUAAGGUCAAGGAGUGUAGUUGUAAAAAAUCAUCAAAAUCGGAGUUAAAUUAACCGUUAAAUCGUGAUUUUUCGUUUAUAACCGUCGAAAAGUUUUGUCCCGCUACGUGCUCUCUGAAUGUUUGUUUUUUGCAAUUUUUGGCGUAUACGAUCUCGAAAUAUAUACAAACAUGUUUGACGGUUGGAUCAUUGAAACUAGUUUCGUAGAAUGAGUAUCCCAUCAAAACAAUAGAUUCACUAAUACUUAAAAGUUUAUUCAUACUUUUAUUAAGUAUAACAUAAGAUUUUGUGGUUUCCACUAGUGUAAAUAUUUUAAAUUGAAGAUCGAAUUCAAUCAUUGUAUUCAUAUAGGGUCAAGGAGUGUAGUUGUAAAAAAUCAUCAAAAUCAGAGUUAAAAUGACCGUUAAAUCAUGAUUUUUCGUUAUAACCGUCGAAAAGUUUUGUCCCGUUACUUGAUCUCUGAAUGUUUGUUUUUUGCAAUUUUUGGCGUAUGAAAUCUCGAAGUAUAUAUAAACAUGUUUGACGGUUGGAUCAUUGAAACUAGUUUCGUAGAAUGAGUAUCCCAUCAAAACAAUAGAUUCACUAAUACUUAAUAGUUUAUUCAUACUUUUAUUAAGUAUAGUAUAAGAUUUUGUGGUAUCCACUAGUGUAAAUAUUUUAAUUGAAGAUUGAAUUCAAUCAUUGUAUUCAUAUAGGGUCAAGGAGUGUGGUUGUAAAAAAACAUCAAAAUCGGAGUUAAAAUGACCGUUAAAUCGUGAUUUUUCGUUUAUAACCGUCGAAAAGUUUUGUCCCGUUACUUGAUCUCUGAAUGUUUGUUUUUUGUAAUUUUUGACGUAUGCGAUCUUGAAGUAUAUACAAACAUGUUUGACGGUUGGAUCUUUGAAACUAGUUUCGUAGAAUGAGUAUCCCAUCAAAACAAUGGAUUCACUAAUACGUAAUAGUUUAUUCAUACUUUUAUUAAGUAUAAUAUAAGAUUUUGUGGUUUCCACUAGUGUAAAUAUUUUAAAUUGAAGAUCGAAUUCAAUCAUUGUAUUCAUAUAAGGUCAAGGAGUGUAGCUGCAAAAAAUUAUCAAAAGCAGAGUUAAAAUGACCGUUAAAUCGUGAUUUUUCUUUUUAUAACCGUUGAAAAGUUUUGUCCCGUUAAUUGAUCUCUGAAUGUUUGUUUUUUGUAAUUUUUGACGUAUGCGAUCUCGAAGUAUAUACAAACAUGUUUGACGGUUGGAUCUUUGAAACUAGUUUCGUAGAAUGAGUAUCCCAUCAAAACAAUAGAUUCACUAAUACUUAAUAGUUUAUUCAUACUUUUAUUAAGUAUAACAUAAGAUUUUGUGGUAUCCACUAGUGUAAAUAUUUUAAAUUGAAGAUCGAAUUCAAUCAUUGUAUUCAUAUAAGGUCAAGGAGUGUAGUUGUAAAAAAUCAUCAAAAUCGGAGUUAAAUUAACCGUUAAAUCGUGAUUUUUUGUUUAUAACCGUCGAAAAGUUUUGUCUCGUUACUUGCUCUCUGAAUGUUUUUUUUUUGCAAUUUUUGGUGUAUGCGAUCUCGAAAUAUAUACAAACAUGUUUGACAGUUGGAUCAUUGAAACUAGUUUCGUAGAAUGAGUAUCCCAUUAAAACAAUAGAUUCACUAAUAUUUAAGAGUUUAUUCAUACUUUUAUUAAGUAUAACAUAAGAUUUUGUGGUAUCCACUAGUGUAAAUAUUUUAAAUUGAAGAUCGAAUUCAAUCAUUGUAUUCAUAUAAGGUCAAGGAGUGUAGUUGUAAAAAAUCAUCAAAAUCGGAGUUAAAUUAACCGUUAAAUCGUGAUUUUUCGUUUAUAACCGUCGAAAAGUUUUGUCAUGUUACUUGCUCUCUGAAUGUUUUUUUUUUGCAAUUUUUGGCGUAUGCGAUCUCGAAAUAUAUAAAAACAUGUUUGACGGUUGGAUCAUUGAAAAUAGUUUCGUAGAAUGAGUAUCCCAUCAAAACAAUAUAUUCAAUAAUACUUAAGAGUUUAUUCAUACUUUUAUUAAGUAUAACAUAAGAUUUUGUGGUAUCUAGUGUAAAUAUUUUAAAUUGAAGAUCGAAUUCAAUCAUUGUAUUCAUAUAGGGUCAAUGAGUGUGGUUGUAAAAAAACAUCAAAAUCAGAGUUAAAAUGACCGUUAAAUCGUGAUUUUUCGUUUAUAACGGUCGAAAUGUUUUGUCCCGUUACUUGAUAUCUGAAUGUUUGUUUUUUGCAAUUUUUGGCGUAUGCGAUCUCGAAGUAUAUAUAAACAUGUUUGACGGUUGGAUCAUUGAUUCUAGUUUCGUAGAAUGAGUAUCCCAUCAAAACAAUAGAUUCAUUAAUACUUAAUAGUUUAUUCAUACUUUUAUUAAGUAUAAUAUAAGAUUUUGUGGUAUCCACUAGUGUAAAUAUUUUAAAUUGAAGAUCGAAUUCAAUCAUUGUAUUCAUAUAAGGUCAAGGAGUGUGGUUGUAAAAAAACAUCAAAAUCGGAGUUAAAAUGACCGUUAAAUCGUGAUUUUUCUUUUCAUAACCGUCGAAAAGUUUUGUCCCGUUAAUUGAUCUCUGAAUGUUUGUUUUUUUUAAUUUUUGACGUAUGCGAUCUCAAAGUAUAUACAAACAUGUUUGACGGUUGGAUCUUUGAAACUAGUUUCGUAGAAUGAGUAUCCUAUCAAAACAAUAGAUUCACUAAUACUUAAUAGUUUAUUCAUACUUUUAUUAAGUAUAAUAUAAGAUUUUGUGGUAUCCACUGGUGUAAAUAUUUUAAAUUGAAGAUCGAAUUCAUUACUUGUAUUCAUAUAGGGUCAAGGAGUGUAGUUGUAAAAAAUCAUCAAAAUCGGAGUUAAAAUAACCGUUAAAUCUUGAUUUUUCGUUUAUAACCGUCGAAAACUUUUGUCCCAUUACUUGAUCUCUGAAUGUUUGUUUUUUGCAAUUUUUGGCGUAUGCGAUCUCGAAGUAUAUACAAACAUGUUUGACGGUUGGAUCAUUGAAACUAGUUUUGUAGAAUGAGCAUCCCAUCAAAACAAUAGAUUCACUAAUACUUAAGAGUUUAUUCAUACUUUUGUUAAGUAUAACAUAAGAUUUUGUGGUAUCCACUAGUGUAAAUAUUUUAAAUUGAAGAUUGAAUUUAAUCAUUGUAUUCAUAUAGGGUCAAGGAGUGUGGUUGUAAAAAAUCAUCAAAAUCGGAGUUAAAAUGACCGUUAAAUCGUGAUUUUUUGUUUAUAACCGUAAAAAAGUUUUGUCCCGUUACUUGUUCUUUGAAUGUUUGUUUUUUGCAAUUUUUGGUGUAUGCGAUCUCGAAGUAUAUACAAACAUGUUUGACGGUUGGAUCGUUGAAAUUAGUUUCGUAUAAUUCGUAUCCCAUGAAGUUCAAUGGUGUGUGUGUGUAUAUAUAUAUAUUUAUUUAUUAAGUAGAUUUAAAUCUAUUUAUUUUGUAUGUAUAAUUAUUAUAGUUUUUAGGAGUAUAAAAUUUAAUAUAUAUAUAUAUAAUUAUUAUAGUUAAUAUUUUGGGUAUAAUUAUUAUAGUAUAUAUAAUUAUUAUAAUUAUUAUAGUUAAUUUAAUAUAUAUAUAUAUAUAUAUAAUUAUUAUAGUUUUUAAGGGUAUAAAAUUGUUAAAUUAAUAUAUAUAUAUAUAUAAUUAUUAUAGUAUUUUUUUAGGGUUAUAAAUUAUUAAAUUAAUAUUCUGCUUAUCGUGUAUCGUGUUACCCACGUGUAUACCCGAACAAACCCGUUAUCUUAACAGGUGCUUAUCGGGUUACCCGAUAACGACCCGUUUCGUUAUCGUGUCGACCCGAACACCUGUUAAUUUCGUGUCGUGUCGUGUCGGGUUAUCGGGUCGUGUCAGGAAUUGCCAAGCCUAAUAAUGAUUAUGAAUUUUGGUGAUAUUGCAUAUCUGCUUUUUUAACCAUAUUUAUGCAUACUGUUCAUUUCAAGCAUAUCAAUGUGACAGCUAAAUGAUUCAGUUUGCAGAACAUGCUUAAAAAUUAUAGCUUUAACUAAUCACUCAUCUUUCAUCUCUCUCCCUCUCUCUCACUCUUACAGUAAUAUACUGCCGGUUUGCUGGUAAAUCAUUUUUCAUAAAAAGUAUGCAUUUUACUAUUCCUAGCACAAUCAUUUGCAUCAAGUUUCAGCAUUUUGUUCUAAUUUUUUCAAGUUAUUUGGUACAGCUAUUCAUACUCUGAUCACAAUUGCUGAGAGUCUCAAGAGCAAUUGAGUUGCUGUUGAAAAGAGUAAGUUGAUAUUUGACAAGUGUUGUGUUUGAUUUCCAGUACUAUUUUGAUAAACAUAGGCCCUGUUUGGCAGAUCGGAUAGGAUUAGUUAUACGGACGCGGGUGUUUGGCGCUCAAUCGUACUAAAUAAGCGCCAGAUUAAUUUAACCGGUUUGCUUAUUUAAGAGGGUAUAUGCCGGAUUAAUAAAACCAACCAAAAGGCUCGGAUUAUUAGUCGGUCCUCUCGUGAACUCGGCCCUCUCUCUCUCGCCUUCUCUCGGCGUCGUCGUCGUCCUCCCCGUCACCUUCCUCGUCGUCCUCUCCUUGUGGCCUUCCCCGUCACCUUCCCCGUCACCUUCCUCGUCGCCUUCCCCGUCGCCUUCCAUGUCGCCUUCCUCAUCAUCGUUCUCUCGGUGGCGUCGUCGUCCUCUCGCCUUCCCCGUCGCCUCGCUCGUCGUCGUUCUCUUAGCGUCGUCGUCGUCCUCCCCCGCAACUGGGUCUUGCAAAGAAACAUGGUGCGGCGGAAAGAUGAUUUCAAUUUGGGAUUCUUCUGCAGUCGGGGAAGAAGAAGGGAGAGAGAGGGAGGGAAUUUGGGGUGUGCGGCGGAGAGAUCUGGGAAAAAAGUGAUGGUUUCAGUUCAUUUUUUUUUAAUUUUAUUUUUAGUUUUGAUUUCUCCUAUAAUAACAAACACAAUAUAAAUAAUACGAUCAUUAGUCCGAUACUGCACCAAACGCCUGACUAAUUUAGUCAGUUACUAUCCGAUGGCUAUUUAUCCUAUCCGACAGAAAUAGUCAGUACAGUCCGAGUUGCCAAAUGAGGCCAUAAUGGUUAAUGUUGUGGGGCUACUACUGGAACAGCCAUAAGCACCUCUACUGUUGUCUCGAAGCUGGAUGGCGAAGAUGGACGGAUUGUGUUGAAGGCUCAGGUUCGUUAUUUCCUUUUGAUUUUACUGAUCAAAGUUGUUAUGUUACUCACUGAUGGACUUUUGUAAUAAUUAUGUGUUCCUAAUACUAAAAUUGUCCCUCUUUCUGUGUCAUAGUUGGUGAUUUUGUUGGGAAAGGCUGAAGAAGUCGAGGAGACUGCAGUUCCUGUGGUUGCAGCGUGAAGGCAUAUGUGAUUCAGCAGAGUUUGAGUUGAAACUUGGAUGAUGAGUAGUAGCUGGGUAAUUCAUUAGAAUAAUAAGGAUGUGUAAAUGAGAAACAGGUUUAGCACUUUGCUUCCUAAUGCAUGUUUUCUUACAUGCCCUUUGAUAUAAAUAAUGAGAUUUUUUGCAGCUCACAGCUCUCUCUCUCUCUCUCUCUCUCUAAGGAUGUAUAUAUGGGAGACAUGUUUAGCACUUUGCUUCCUAAUGCAUGUUUUCUUACAUGCCCUUUGAUAUAAAUAAUGAGGUUUUUUGCAGCUCACAUCUCUCUCUCUCUCUCUCUCUCUCUCUCUCUCUCUCUCUCUCUCUCUCUCUCUCUUUCUCUCUUUCUCUCUUUCUCUCUUUCUCUCUCUCUCUCUGUCUCUGUCUCUGUCUCUGUCUCUCUGUCUCUCUCUCACUCUCUCUCAGCUCACACACGCACACAGAAACUACCACAUUGUUAGAAAAACUGAAGAAGCACUAGAAUUUAGUGAGUCUGAAACGUUGAGGUUGACAUUUAGGGUUCUCUUUCUUUUAGAGGCUGGAAGAUAUCUGGAUAUGCUUCAAAUUUCAAUUUUUGUGGCCAGAUUUUAGUGACCUGUACGGUUUGUGUUGUGCUAAAAGCAUGAUUGUUUAUGUUGGAGUGGUUUUAAGGGAAUGUCCAACUGAGUUGGGCAGUUUUUGUUCAUUCUGUUAAGGUGAGCGUCUUUGGAGGUAUUGUGGGUAUAUUGUCCGAAUUGGGGUUUUUAAAGUUGAAAUUCAAUCUGGGAUUCUGAAUUUUUUUUACAACUUAGUAAUUUGUGGAGUUAUUCUUAGUUUUUAUCAAGAAAUUUGAUUUAGGUUUCAUAUAUUUUGUGAAAUUAGAUACUUUUUUGUGAAGAUUUUUUUUAAUAUAUUGUUGUGGUAGUUAAGGUAAUUUACGCGUUUGAAAAAGCUCGAGAGUUGAAUGUGACAAAGUAAGCAGAUCAGCAUGUAAACCUGAAACCAAGAAGCUCAAACCCCGAGAAUUCGAUGGUUAGCCCUGUUUUCAGAUUUGUUUGCUUCAGUUAAUUUUGUUGUAAAUUAAUUAAUAACAUAUUAGAGCGAAACCCUGUUGGUUAUUGUGCUUUUUUAUAUAGGUAAUUAUAUGUAUUUUCUCUUCUUUGCAUUUAGCAGUAAUUAACCUUAAUUAUGUGACUCAAAAUCUGGGGCAGCUUCUGGACCUUAUUCUCAGGAAGGUAACAUUUUUAAUUAUUUUCCUUAUCAUUUGAUUGGGUUUUUAGUUGACGAUUUCAAUUUGGUGCCAUUAAGCUAUCACCCUCAGACCUCAAAAUUCAGGUAACCCCAUGAUUUUAAUAUUGCUUCUCCUGUUUUAUCUAAUUAUUGUUCUAUGAAUUGUAUUCUUUAGUUAAAUAAUGAUUAAUUAGAAUUUCUAGGAAAAAAACUCAGGCAUUGUAGUGUUUGAAAUGAUAAAUAUAAAUCCAAUUUGGCCAUUAGCCAGUCAGAGAACCUAAUUUGGGAAGUAGGUUUUAAAGUUUCAAUAGUUUCGUUGUGUGUAAUUUUUUGUGCUUUGCCUACCGGGAAUCUAAUAACCAAAGGCUUGCUUAUGUUUCUCAAAUGGUUUUUAACUGUAUGUUUCGUUUCUUUACUAUUUUCAGAUGAUAUAAAUGAUCAGUUCUGUGAUGCUGUUAAGAAAUGAAUUUUGUGAUGCUGUUAAGAAUAAAGGAUCUAAUAUAUUUGAUUUGUUGUCUACAGAGAACCAAGGAACUUGAUAGCACAGAUUUACUAAGUCAAUUACCUGCUUUGCGAUAGCUUCUUUCUCCCUUCUUGAUUGCCAGGUGUGGAUCCAUGCAUUUUACUUAUAUUUUUGUAAUUUAAUUAUCCUCUUUCUCCCUUCUUUAGUGUUUGAUCCUGAAAUUAAUUUGUGUGAGUCCUGAUCUCUGUAAUUUUGUGUAAAAUUCAAUGACUUUACCUUUUCUAAUGCCUUUUUAUUUUCUAUUUUUGUCUUUGAGCUUCUGCUUUUUGGGCAUUUUGGGUUCUAUUUUUCUAUUUCCCAGUCGACUGGAAAUAUUGAGGGGAGGGAGAGAGAAAUUGCUCUGCUAUAACCAUGCUUCUAUAUUUCUUACGGGUUGGUAUAUUUGAUAAUUAGAAAUGACAGCUUUACUUGAUUGAUGUUUUAUUUUUCUGUAUUCAAUUUAAGGUACUAUGAAUUGGGACCCGACAAUCCACCAUACGCUGCCAAGUUCUACAACUGUUGUGGGGCUGCACUUCCAGUUUCCAUGUUUUGUAUGAUGACGAUUGAUCCAUGUAAUAUCUCUAUUUUAAGUUUCAUCAUUUCAUUCAGUCUUGCUCUUGCACUCUAACCAAGCUUCUGUAUCUCCAAUAAUUUCAUCUCUUUUGUAUAAAAAUGAAGUUGAUGCGUAAUUGGGUUUUUUUCUUAAGGUAUGUUUUUUUUUUUCAUUAUCGAAUUAAUCUUUCCUGCUGUUGUUUAUAUAAUUCUGAGGGGAGAGAGUUAAUGGAAUGGGGGUAAAAAAAAUCAAGGGAAGGAAAGGGAAAGAUGAGUGCAUGGGUUGGCCUGAGUUUUUUUUAAUUGGUUUGAGAUUUUGUUUACGUUUGGGGGUUCUUUUGCCCUAACAUUGUUUUGAAUUCAUAUAGAAUUUUGUUUAUGUUUGGGGUUGUCAUGUUCGUGUAUUUAAUUUGGUGUUUGGUAGUUUACAUUAUAGUUGUCGUCGGUUUUCUUAAAGGAUAAAUCCAAGCGAUUUUCUGAUGUAUGUGCAAAUGUUAACACUUUGUAGAUUUUUAGUUUUUAAACAAUAAGAUAAUGCAACCGUUCAGAGUGAGGGGAAGAAUAUAGGUGGAGGAGAAUUAUGUCUUUCAAUGGAAAUGCCGCAUUCAUAUUUUUGUAAUUGGUUACAGGGUUGAAAAAACAGUUGAGCGCUGUUGUUUGUGUCUUGAUAAUUUUGUCAAGUUUUAAAAACAGUGAAAAGAAAUUAAUUUUAUGAGGUAAAGCAAGCUUUUAACAAAAAAUGCUACUGCACAAAUGUGAGCUUUUGGACUGAUUAUGUUUUGUAAAAAAAAAAAACUUUAAUAUUUCUUAGAAUUAUGUUUUUUUUUUUUUUUUUUCAGUUAUGCAUUGCUUUGAAUGAUUUUUUUUUUUUUUUUUUUGUAACUCCGCCUAUGUACUUACAUUGCCGGUCCCAAACCCGGAUAAAGGAGGAGGGGGAGGGCGUCAGGUAGUCGACAACCGGCACUCCAUGAUCACGUCGAAUCCUUAUGAAAAUGAAUUCAGAACAAAAAUUCGAAGUGUGGAAAGUUUUGGGAGAGACAGGUAUAACAUGGCUCACUGACCUUUUCAAUAGGAUUUUGAAAACGAAGAAGAUGCCAAAUGAGUGGCAAACGAGCACUUCCUCAAAAAUCGAAGAGACACUGCUCUCCGAAUCUCGAGAGCCAGACCCCCAGCAUGAUUGCUUUCUCAAAAAUCGAAGAGGCAUCGUUCUCCGAAUCUCGAGAGCCAGAUACCACAGACCACUUUUUCAAAGUGCUCUGACAGAGUUAAAACAUGUGAAACUGGCAGCUCCCACUACCGUGCCAUGACCAAGUAGGGUAAAUGAAUAGCAUUACUACUUGUUGUUAAGGAGACUCCUAUAUAUGUCGACCUCCAUCCCCAACGGACAGGCAGACCUGCAAAAAUGCUCAACUUCCUCAUAUCUGAGAGGGCACUCCCAACGAAGCCUUUCGAAAUAUUCAGCUUUCUUUCCCCCCGAUAAUACCUCUGCAAACAAGCUAUACUAGAGCAAGAAUAUCUCAUAUCAUCAGGGUUAAAAGCAAGAGUAUCCCAUAUCAUGCUUUUUCCCUGUCUUUUCCUUUGACCUUGUUCUUACCUGCAAGACAAGGAGAAAGAGAGCAAUCAGUCAGUACUUGGAAUCAAGCUUCCAGCCAGGAACUGACUGCCUGGAACCCCUUACCUGAUUACUUACCUGACAUUGCUCUCGAGUACUCAUCUUCAACAUCUUAUGCUUCCAGGGAAGAUACCGCAUCUGCCUGAGGAACAGAUAGGGCAAGGGAGAAGGAUACACGGAAGCAUGUGGAGACAAGCGUAACAGCACACGUGCCGAUACAUCCAUUACUCUGUCAAAGCAAAAGUAUCCCAUAUCAGCAGGGUCGAACGUACUCUAGAUUUGAUGGACUUGUUUUGACCCUCAAAUUCUUCAAUCGGCCUUAUACUCUGGAGGAAACUAGAAACCCUCCAGCUCAGUUCAAGAAUAAGCCUGUGGAAAGUUACUUCUUCAAAAGCAAAAGUAUCUCAUAUCAUCUCUUCUCAUUUUCUUCUCUUUAUCCUUCAUGCUGCCUGCAAGAUAGGGAGACUGUGAACAAUCAGCCGGAGCUAUGAUUGCUUACCUUGUCUGUCACCUCUUUCAGCAUAUCCCCUAGCUCGGCGACUUGGGGGACUCCUACUACAUGGUUUGUAUCGCGCUUGACCAAGCUUGAUACUACAAGUAAGCUUCAAGUGAAAUUGAUACAUUACCUUGUGCAUCUCCACCAGUUAAAGAUACCACCCCUGGAUGGAGGAAGAGUACUUCCAGAGAAGAUGCCCCAUCUACCUAUGAGACAGAUAAGGCACGUCAAGACGAUACCACACUCCGAUACUUAGAAGUUUCGUGAUUACGAGAUCAUUCUCCCACAAUAUUUCCUAAUGUCAUUUGUACUAAAUCAUUCACUUGUACUCACUAAAGGAGAGCUUGAACCUAUGUACUUGUGUAAACGCUUCACAAUUAAUGAGAACUCCUCUAUUCCGUGGACGUAGCCAAUCUGGGUGAACCACGUACAUCUUGUGUUUGCUUUCCUAUCUCUAUCCAUUUAUAAACUUAUCCAUACUAAUGACCGGAGCAAUCUAGCGAAGAUCACAAAAAGCGACCGUUUUCGCUACCUAAGAUCUAUCGUGCAAGAGAACGGAAAAUUAGAUGGAGAUCUCAACCAUAGAAUACAAGCUGGAUGGAUGAAGUGUAAGAGUGCAUCCGGCGUAUUGUGUGACCGUCAUAGGUCACUGAAGCUCAAGGGAAAAUUUUAUAGGACGGCAAUAAGGCCAGCGAUGUUGUAUGGCACAGAAUGUUGGGCGGUGAAGCAUCAACACGUACAAAAAAUGGGUGUGGCGGAGAUGAGGAUGCUUCGUGGGAUGUGUGGGCACACGAGAAAGGAUAAGAUUGGGAAUGAGGAUAUCCGAGGUAAAGUAGGAGUAGCCGAAAUUGAAGGAAAGAUGAGAGAAAAUCGGUUCCGGUGAUUUGGACAUGUGCAAAGAAGGCCUACUGACGCUCCGGUUCGAAGAUGUGACUACUGGACAGAGGUUCAGGGCCGAAGGGGUAGAGGAAGACCUAGGAAAACUUUGGAAGAGACUCUAAGAAAAGACUUAGAGUACUUGGAUCUAACGGAGGACAUGACACAAAACCGAGCGCAAUGGCGUUCUAGGAUUCAUAUAGCCGACCCCACUUAGUGGGAAAAGGCUUUGUUGUUGUUGUUACUUUUACUAUUUUGUGUAUUUAAUUUCUAUCUUCAUUUUCUGCUCAGAUUAUUAUGAGCUGCAAAGUACUGUUGGCGAAAUAGGAAAAAAAAAAAAAAGGAAAGGUGAGUCGGGCUGUUAAAUAGUGUAAAAUUUUGAGUUUACAAAUUUUUUUUAGUCAUAUUAAUAAUUGCUUUUGCAUAUAUAUAUAUAUGCUGGUAUGCUUCAUGAGGUGACCUUGAAACUUUAUUUGACAAACACAUAUCAAUGCAAGUGAGGAAGGAUGUGUGGAGCCAAAUGAAUAAGACAUACGAAAAUGGUUGAAAGGUUUCAGAGACAGUGGGUAUAUAUUCCUAUAUUUGAGUUGGUUUGAAACUUUUUCUUUGACGUUCAUCCUUUUGUAGGUUUCUUUCGUUUCUAAGACAUUUUUAUAAUUGUGAGACAAUGUAUUGGGCCUGACAACCACUGUUGGGGACUCAUUUUAGAAAUGUUGAGUGUGUUUGAUUGACAUAGUUUCUUAUCAAGAUUUCUUAAGUUCUUUUCUGUUAAUUAGUACUGUAGUAGUUGUACAACUUUGUGGAUUUUAGUUAAAGAGAAACUACCAAUUCUGAUUGCAAAAUCAGACAUAAGAAAGGGUAAAUAUGGUUCUGAAGUAACUGAAGAACUUUCUGUAUUUCCAUACAGCUAAUUAUGUGAUUUAUUGUGAUGCAGGAAAACCAUUCAGAGGAAUCUUAUAACUUGGCAUGUAUCCUCACCCUCCCUCCAUAUCAAAGAAAAGACUAUGGAAAAUUUUUAUUGCCUUCUGUAAGCUUUGCACUUACUUUCUUUAUUCGUUUUGGCGUAGUUUUCUCUGUCUCCGUUCUGUCUUGAUGAUUGAGUUCUGCUUUACUAUUGAUAGUCCUUGCAAUAUUUUUGAAUUGUGUUGAACCCAGACAUCUAUUAUAGGUAUAUGCCCCAUUAAGGUUUUUAAAAUAUUAUUCUAUAGUCCUGCAAUGAGAUGUAGUUGUAGAUUGUGGAAGAUCGUAUUAGGCUAAAAUUUCAUUAUAAAUACUGUAUAGUAUUAUCUAAAGCUCUCUAACUAUUCAAUUGUUUCAGCCGUAAAAAAUUGAUUGAUUAGAAGAACUGCAAACCUCAAAUUUCCUUCAUAUUUGUUUAUUUGAUGUUGUUUUUCCAUAUAAAUCUUCUCUUGCAAAGAAAUUCAAAGGGCUCUAAUUGUAUUCAUGGACUCUAUAACCUGCUAUCCAACUAUUCCCUGUACUAAAUCUUCAAACCCUUCAUAUAAAUGGACUGAUCUUUUCUGUUUUCUCCACUUCUGUGCUCACCAAUUUCGGUGGUUUUGUUUUGCUCCAUAUAGAUAAACUUGAUUGAAAUAUAUAGUCUUCGCAUGUUCUCACCCGAUUUGUGUGCAUGCAAAUACUUGCUAUAGGUAUGGGUUUUGGAAAUUUGCCAAGUUUACUGUGUUUCAAAAUUUCGAUUUUAAAAAUUUCGGUAUCUUGAUGAUUCUUUUCAGAUUUGUGGGUAGUUUAGAAUUUAGUUUGAGAGGUUGUGAUGGAAGUCGAAAUGUUUCUUUGUUGUGUUUAUGUAUUCUUUGAGUUGGUUGAUACAGUUAAAUUUAUCUCUGAAUCAGUUUUGAUAAAUGUUUGUCAGACGCUCGAAAUGCUUGAGAAAAAAUGAGAGUACUACAGAAGGCUGCUGCAAAAGGGUAAGAAUAGCUGCCGAGAGCUACUACAAUUUUUGUUAAUUAAGGGUCGGCAACUUACUUCGGCAUUUGUAAUCAUCAAUUCUUGACUCAAGCAUUACUUAUGAAGAGUGAAGUUGUAUAACUUUUGGAGUUAACAUUUUGAGAAAUAGCUUUAAAUUUUUGUUUUCAUUUUGCUGAUUUUCGAAGUGGUUGUGGGAAACGGUUCUUUUGAACCAGAUUAAUUGAUUUCACUGAUUGCAUUUUGAUUGUGUUUUUGAAUUUUGGGAGUCGAUCUUAAAAUGUGGUGGGCUUUUGAGGAAUUCGGGGUUUUUCCAAAUCUGAAUUUGGUACGUGUGUGUUGUGCUGAGGUUGAAUUUGAAUUUUGCAGUCUGGUUUUUUAUCAGCUCACUUCACCCAUCUCUUGGUUAUUUGAAUUAUUUAGAGAUGCCUGUAUUGAUUUGUGAUUUGUUGGAUUUACUCUGAUUAGGACGUGACUCCAUUCGUGUCGCCUUUGUAAUGCAUCUUUCUGUGCAAAUUAUUCACGCCUAUUAUGGCUAAUAGUUUCAAAACCCGCAGCGAAGGGCGGGCAUUUUUUCUAGUAUAAUCUAAUACUGCAUGAAAGUAAUAAGAAAUAUAAAUAUAUACUAACAACAUGCUUGAGUCCUCUUAUACAGGAACCUCUAUUAAAUAUCAGAAGUAAUAUUUAGUAAGUAACAAUUGUAUAGCUUUAGUCUUGUAACAAAUGCAAUCGAGCUGCUCUCUAAUUGAAAAUCUAGUAGCCAUGCAUCUUUGCUAAUAUGUAAAUAUAAACCACCAGAAGCUUAGGGUUUGUUUGGUUGUGCUUUUGAAAGAGUCAAAAGCGCUUCCUAAUGAGUAAAAGCGCUUUAGUUUUAAAAAAUGGUCGUUUGGCAAAUAUUUUAAAAGUGCUUUUAGUUAGAAAUAGAAGCACUAAUAAGCAUUUUCUAAGAAGCACCUAGGAGGUGCUUCCUCCUAAAAGUGCUAUGCAGAGAAAACAAGGGAAGCACUUUGCUCCCUUUAAUGAAUUUUUUUCAAUUCCCGAAUUAUCCCUAUUUUUUAAUUUGCAAAGUCUAAAAUGCCAUUACACUUGAAAAAACAUCAAAAUUGACAUCACCAAUUUUUUAUAGGUUUGCACGUUAAAAACCUAGAAGUCUUUUAUUUUCAUAAUAUUUUGGUGGCUGGAGAAGUCAUCUUGGUCUCCAUCUCUUCCUCUCCAUCUUCCCCAAAUCUCCAUCACCUAAAAUUCUUUGUGGAGGUAUGUUUGCUAUUUCUUAUCUUAAAAUUUGUAUGUAGUGUGUGAAUUUGAUUGUUGAUAUGUUAUUUUUAUCAAAAUUGUUGUGAUUUUUGAACUACACGAAAAUAAUUUUAGGGUUUAUUGAUCGUUCAUUGAUAUUCCAAUGGUAUUUUCUGCAUUUUUUUCAUGAUAUUUCUAAUUUUCCUGAUUCAUUCUCUGAUGAGCAAAUUAUAUAUGUUGCCUAUCCAGUUAAUUAACUCUAACAGCAACUUAUUAAAACGCUCAUGAUCAAACUAACACAAGUAAAACCAUCUCCAGUUUCCUAUCAUUGAUCGAGAUGUUUACAGAGGAUGCAUGUGCUACAGUUUGUUAUAAUUUUUUUGUUCGAUUUCUAGCAACAUAUAUUGUAUGCUAAUUAUAUACAAAAAAUACUUAUGCAAAAAUUAUUGAGAAUUAUUAAUGAAAGCGAUUUUCAUUUGACAACCAAACACUCUAUUUAAUAUCAAAAACGCUUCUAUCCAAUACAAAAACGCUUAGUUGGUUGCAUGCCAAACAACAAACUACUUCCUCAUAGAAGCGCUAUUGAAAAGUGCUACAAACAAAAAGCGCUAGUGAGUAAAAGCGCUUUAUAGAGUAGCACAUCCAAACGAGCCCUUAGUGUUUGUAUACAUGUAGUAGCUUUGGAAAGACUAAAGGAAGUAUGAGAAUCCGGUUGCAGGUUUGACACAUGAAUUCACGCUUUUGUCCGAUGGUUUGGAUCAACCUCCGUCUCUUUCUCCUAGUCCGGUUGCAGACAAGGAAGCAUGAAAGGUAUUUCCUAUUUUUUUGCUACGAUGAGGAGCUCCUUCUUAUCUGAUGGCUUUAUAGAAUUACAUUUUCCUUGACUUCAUAGAACUUUCUACUUCUUAGACUAAAAAUAAAACCAUUAGUUUUUUAUCCGUGGAGUUCCAUAAAAUUCUACGAAGUUAAAUUCUGCAUAUCCAUUUCGAGUGUAAACCUUUUAGAUGAAAUAUAGAAUUAAUGCAACUAAAAUAAAUAAAAAGCAGAAUAGUAAAUGAUCAUUUAUCACAGUGGUGGAAAUGUGUUGUGCCUUUGCAUGAUGACUUGGAUUUGAUCCCGUCGGUUGCUAUCUAACAUCUAACUUACUAACACUAUCACUCUCGUAAAAAAAAAAAAAAAAAGCAGAAGAGGAACUUGCAGCUGUAAGCUCUCUGAUUCUGUGGGCUUUGGAUAUCCAUACUUUGCGACGGCAUAGUUUCGCGGUACGGAACGGCGGCCAAUGAAAAGGCGUUGAUAAAGAGACUAUGGAAAGAACUCGGGGAAGGACCAGAUCCUCGCCGGAUCAUUCCCUAGGGAUCCUAAGGAUCCCACAAUCCUAUCCGUUCAUCGUAUAUCGCGGUCAGAAAUCAUUUAAAUUUUCAAUUUUAAAAUUCAAAAGUAAAUAGUACCUAACGAAAACUGACCGAACGAUACAUAAUGAACGGAUAGGAUUGCGGGAUCCCUAGGGAAUGGAUCCGGCGAGGAUCCUGGUGCCUCGGGGAAAAGAGAAAAGCAGAGGAAAAGAAUUCCUCGCCAGUCCCACUACAAACCAAUCAUCCAAUUAAAAUUCUCUAGAAAUUUAAAAUUACAAAAAUGCCCAUGCAUUUAAAGUCCCGCAAAAGCUUCAUUUUAAGUCAAAUUUUUAGCCGUAUCCCUUUCCACCUAAUCUACCAAAUCUGUGAUCCAGACCAUUGAAAUUUGAUCCAACGAUUACAGUUAUUAUAACUUUAAAGGGGCUCUCUGUUUGUAGUCGUUUGAUCAAAUUUCAAUGGCCUAGAUCACGGACUUGGUGAAUUAGGUGGAAAGGGAUCCAGAGAGAAUCCCUAUCCAAAUUUUCAUUAUUAUGUUUGUGUCACGUGUUCGUAAUAACGAGUAUUAUAAGAAUAUAAGAAUAUAAUAAUUAAUAUGUCACGCGUGUACCAAAAAGUCAACGAAAGCCAACACAUACAUAUUAGGGGCAUUUUGGUGAUUUUCCAAGUUGAGGAUUUGAAAUAUCUUAUAUUUAGGAACGGAUCGCAACAUAAAUUGUAACAUCCACAUCGUCCAGGGGAGUGGAUCCUCUAAGCCUUAUAUGUAUAUUCUCAUCUCUACCUAGCAAGAGACCUUUUGGGAGCUCACUGGUUUUGGGUUCCAUCGGAACUCCGAAGUUAAGCGAGUUCGCGUGAGAGCAAUCUCAGGAUGGGUGACCCACUGAAAAGUUCUCGUGUGAGUUCCCAGAAACAAAACCGUGAGGGCGUGGUCGGGGCCCAAAGCGAACAAUAUCGUGCUACGGUGGAGUCGAGCCCGAGAUGUGGUGGUGGACCGGGGCGGGGAUGUGACAUAAAUGAAGGCAAUAAUUAAUCAAUAAAAUCAGUGCAUCCUAGGUGCAAUUCGUUUACAUAUUUACACUAUAUACUUCAUUAUGUAAGGAUUGCAAAAAUAACAUUGGAUUGCAAGAAAUGUUGUAUAAAGAGAUUUUGCUGCAUCUAAUUUAUGGAUGCAAUUUUUUGAAAUUUUAGAACUUUAUGUGACAUGAUGAUCUCCUCCCUUCUGUGUUUGUAAUUUGUCUUAUAAGUGUAAUUUUUUUUUUCAUUUUGGGUCAAUGUAUCAAGACAUAACAUCAUUUGGUCAUAUGUCAUCAUCAAAAACUUUAUCUCAUGUCAUAAAUUUAACAUUAACAUCAUUUUUGUUUACUCAUUAAUCAAACAUAUAAAAAAUUAUUGAUAAAAAAAAUUUCUUUCACAUGCCUAAUUGUCACAGCCCGUCCCAAAGUUUUACACUCGUGAUUGUAAAUUGACGGAAUUUCCCUUAAACGUGAUUAAGAUAUGUGAAUCAUAUAUUGGUGAAAUAUAUGUUAAGUUAUUUGGAGAUGGAAUUUUGUGAUUUGGGGUUAGGUAGGACCACACACCUCAUAUCCCUCCCUAUUUCGCGUACCCUGUCUCUCUCUCCUCCCUCACAAUCUCUCAUUCUCUGUCUCUCUCCCUCUCCUUCGAACUCACACAGACGAGCUCCAAAACCACCCUAAAUCUAUACCAACGACGGAGUUAAGACCACCAUCAAACUCCUGGAACCUCCACGAUCACGAUGGUAUCCAUUUCAGGUAAGUUUUGCUUCGGAAAAUCCUAGUUUCAAAGUUCCCGUGAAAUGGUACUGUUCAUAAUCUUCUAAAUGACUACGUUUUAGGCUAAAACAAGAUCACAGCGAGCUUAGUGAGGUCCCAAGGAAGCUCGGAGUGCUUCGUUGGAAGUUUUUGGACGUAAGAACACGGAGAUCGAUAAGUUCAAAGUUUGGCCGAAGCUUUCGAGGCGUUUUCCGGCGAAUCCCCGGCGAGUUAGGAGUCAAGGUAGGUAUCAAUCUCUUCGUCUCGUCAAGUACUACAACUUUUCUUUUUGUUUCACUCAAUUUCGUUGAGUAUUGAAGAAGUUAUACUCAUUUGAAAAAUACCAGUUUCCGGCGACCUCCGAGGCUUUCGAGGCAGUUUCCGGCCAAACCACGGCGAACUAGGUGUUGUGCAAGGUACCAUUCUCUUUGUCUCUUCAAGGGCUACAACUUUCGUUUUUGAAUCACUUGAUUUCGUUGAGAAAUGACAAAGUUAUGGCAAUUUGAAAAACUGCCCAGAAAACGGCCGCCGGAAAAACCAGUCCGGCGACCCAAGGAAGAAGAAGGUGCUACAGUAAAAAUAAAAAUAAAAUUAUUUUAAAAAUAUGUCGACGUCCGUGACGUCGAGUAGAUCACUGUGGUAUAUUCAUAUACCUAAAUUGAACACCGUAUGAGAAAGUUAUUGAGGAUUGUUGGUUAGGUGUUCGAAUAACGUUUUAUAGUUUUCACAUUAGGUGAAAAUGUGAAUUGAUGAUCCGACCGUUGGAUCAUCACCAAACUUUGAUACGUUGUAAUACGUAAUAUUUGAGGAUUAUUGGAACUUACGGAUUGGGAAUCCGAGUUACGGAUCUUUCGGAAUUGGAAUUGUAAGUUCAUAAAAUAAAAUGUUAACCGUCACUUAGUUUUGGAAAUUGACGGAGAUCCGACCGUUGGAUGGUAAUGAAAUUUUAGGAUGUUGUACUAGAGGUAUAAUGUGGACCUCUGGAAGUUAUGGAUUUAAAAUCUGAGUGGCAGAUCUUCCGGAUCGAUCAACGUAGUGACGUAUUUUAUAUAAGUUAUAUAUUCUAUCGAUAUGAAUUCUGAGCCUGGAAUUGAUUACUAUUCUAGGCGGCGAUCGUCAUGACGCCUUGAUGUGUGGUGCUAGGGAGUUGUUGGACGAACUCCAGGUGAGUGGACAAUUUUGUUUUCCGUAUAUAUAUAUACUUGACGUUUCCCAGAAAUUGAAUUGAAAUGAAAAUAUGUUUAAAAUGAAAUGUAUAUGAGUUAUGUGGAAAAACGGGAAGUGAAAUACCAUGCAUAGAAUUGAUAUGAAAAGUAUAUAGAAAUGUGAAUCGAAUUGCCAUGCAUGAAAUGAUAUGAAAAGUAUGAAUUGAGAUAUGAUGCAUAUGAAUGAAUGGUGCGGCGGACGCACAGGUGAGUAUCAGGUGAGUAUUUAAUUACUGUUAUGAUGAUGUUGAUAUAUAUUGAGCUCAAAUCCUGCACCAUGGUUUAGUGCUUAUAGUAUUCACCGCAUCGCACGCUCGCCUUGGAUCCAAGUAGAUGCUAGUCGUACAGUCCACGCGGAGUGGGUACGACAGGCCAGUCGCGAGAGUGUUAGUGAGAUUCCGACUGGUGGGUGACCUUAGAUUAUGUGCACAGAUGAUUUAUGAGAAGCACUAGAGCGUAACUUGUGUGCAGAAGGCCGGACGGGUCACAGAGGUGACUCCGGUAGAGUGAUAGUGAUAGAUUUUGAGCUCUAGGUUCAACCGUACAGGGCUAUUAGAGGGCCUACGGUUGAUUACUUUCUUGCACCUGAUAUGAUUAUUGUUGAUGCAUCCAUACUUAACUAUUGAAUUAGACAUGGCAUGGCAUGAUUGAUAAAGAAAAAUGUUGAGAUAGUAAAAAUGAAGUUUUGAGAAUAUAUAUGUAUAUUUAUAUUUUACAUUUCUGGGAAAGUAUACAGGUUUUACGGAGAGGGGUUACAACGUUUUGAGAAAUGUUUGGAUUUUGAAAAGAAUUGUUUUACUGACCCACUCAAUUUUGGUUUUGCGCCCCUCCAGGUUCAAGAAUCACAAAGGUGUGGUGACUACGAGGAAUUCGACGGUGUUCUGACAGAUUGGACAAAAUUAGGACUCACCUUCGGGUGUAUCAACUUAUAAAUUGUAUCUUAAAGCUUCCGUACUGUGUAAAUGGUUACGUCACUCUCACGUGACGGCCAGCAUGCCCUCCUUCGGGACGGGGUGUGUCAGUCGACCUUAGAUUAUGUGCACAGAUGAUUUAUGAGAAGCACUAGAGCGUAACUUGUGUGCAGAAGGCCGGACGGGUCACAGAGGUGACUCCGGUAGAGUGAUAGUGAUAGAUUUUGAGCUCUAGGUUCAACCGUACAGGGCUAUUAGAGGGCCUACGGUUGAUUACUUUCUUGCACCUGAUAUGAUUAUUGUUGAUGCAUCCAUACUUAACUAUUGAAUUAGACAUGGCAUGGCAUGAUUGAUAAAGAAAAAUGUUGAGAUAGUAAAAAUGAAGUUUUGAGAAUAUAUAUGUAUAUUUAUAUUUUACAUUUCUGGGAAAGUAUACAGGUUUUACGGAGAGGGGUUACAACGUUUUGAGAAAUGUUUGGAUUUUGAAAAGAAUUGUUUUACUGACCCACUCAAUUUUGGUUUUGCGCCCCUCCAGGUUCAAGAAUCACAAAGGUGUGGUGACUACGAGGAAUUCGACGGUGUUCUGACAGAUUGGACAAAAUUAGGACUCACCUUCGGGUGUAUCAACUUAUAAAUUGUAUCUUAAAGCUUCCGUACUGUGCAAAUGGUUACGUCACUCUCACGUGACGGCCAGCAUGCCCUCCUUCGGGACGGGGUGUGUCACUAA